UGCAAGAGUGUGAGAGUGAAGAGUGAGAUAUAGUGAAGUAAGGGUGUGAGUGGUGGUGUGAGGUGAGGAAGUGUUGUGAGGUGUAGUGAAGUAGUGAAGUGAGUGUGCGAGGUUUGUAGUCUUAUGGGUGUAUGUGAAUGAGGGUUAUUUUGUGUGUAAUAAAGAGAGUUUUAUUAUUAGCUUGGUACGCCAAUAUUCUACAAUUUGGUAUCAGAGCCAGAUUGUAGGAAAUAUUCUGCUAGUUAAGUCGGUGAAAUUCUGCCAGUCCAGGCAGUUAAAUACUGAUAUAAGCAGAGAUUCUGCUGGUGCACAGUCUGGGACUAUGAAGUUGGUCAGUCUGGGACCAGACUUACUUGGUUGACUGCUGGGCAAUCACCAAGUCACUAUGGCAGAUCUUGCUGGUACAACUAGCGAAAUUAAGAAGCUAAAUAACCAUAAUUAUGGUUAUUGGCAAACCUGCAUUGAGUCCUAUCUACAAGGGCAGGACUUGUGGGAGGUAAUCGGUGGUGCUGAAACAACUCCACCACUGAAGGAGAAUGCAGAAGUGUUCAGAAAGUGGCGUAUCAAGGCAGGGAAGGCAAUGUUCAUUCUGAAGACAACAAUUGAAGAAGAGCUGCUGGAGCAUAUCAAAGAAGCAGAUACACCCAAGGUUGCAUGGGACACCCUCGCCUCGUUAUUUUCAAAGAAGAAUGAUGCUCGACUUAAACUGCUGGAAAAUGAGCUGAUGACGAUAUCUCAGGGCAGCAUGAUGAUUAGCCAGUACUUCAUGAAGGUAAAAUCUCUCUGCCGUGAAAUUUUCCAAUUAGAUCCAGAGUCAAAAAUUAGUGACCAGCAGAUGAAGAGAAUUAUUAUUCACGGCCUAAAACCCAAAUAUAACGGAUUCAUUACUGCUAUUCGAGGUUGGCCCACUCAAUCAAUGUUGGUGGAGCUAGAAAAUUUACUGGCUAAUCAGGAGGCUCUAGCCAAACAGAUGGCUGGAGUCUCACUGAAAACUGAAGAGGAGGCACUCUUCAGCAGUAGAAGAAAAGGUCGAGCAACAGGAGGGCCAAGAAAUGUGAAGCCGCUUAAGGAGUUCAGUAGGGCAAAACAAAGGUCGGGAGAGAGCCACCUUACAGGGAGAGUCCACAACCAGAAGGAGCAAAAUACCUGGCAGUUUAAAGACAACAAACGGCGAAGCGGAGAGUGUUAUAAUUGCGGCAAGAAAGGACACUUCGCCCGAGACUGUUGGUACAUGAAGAAAUAAGUACAAGGCAAUAUGGCAACAUCAGGUGACCAUCAAGCAGCAUACAAAAGUGAAGAAUAGUGGGAUGCUCAAGCCUCCUUCGCCAUCAUGGAGUCAAAAGAAGACUGUUAUUCAAACAAGGAGAAGGCUCUCGAAGAACAAAGGUCAGCAAACACUGCUGCAGAGGAGAUGACGCCAAGUGCUAAGAAGGAAAAGCUACCAAAGCAGGUACCAAUAUAUGCAUUAACUGUUAGAUGUAUGCCCUAGAAGCCAACCAGGCCGACACAUGUAUUCUUUCUAGGACAUAAAUUUGUAUUUGACUUUAAAAUAUUAUGAAUAAAUUUGGGUUAUUAUUUCCAUUCAUGUUGUGUACGUGUCCAUGAAUCGUCCAAGGAAUUAAUAAGAUGAUGACAUAUAUUCUCAAGAGUUGAGAAUUUGAGACAUGUGUCAUUGGUGGUUAAUUCCUAAAUGCUCCCGAUCAAUGGAUCAUCACGGGGACGGUGAUUGAUCCAGUGAGAUUGGUGCAUAGGUCGCUUCCCUUUUGGGUAGACGAGUCUCGAGUCGACAGUGUGGGGACACUGAAGCGAAUAUGCAGGUGGUUGUUAGAGAACAAGGGUACCGAGCGUGACCAACGCGAGAAGUCACUUGGAUGUCUACUCACUCGUCAGUGACUUACUCAAUUGUUGCAGUAGUGUGACUGGUCCUUUGACCUGCGGUGCCUCGGCUAUUCACAAUGAGGUUACUGUAGUUUGACUGUACAUACACUUGGUCCCUAGCCAUUCGGGUCCUUGCGGUGCAUGUUGGCUGCAGUAGGUUCAUUGUAGGAAUAGGGUGCGCACUUAGAUGGAAUCUAUCUCCCUUGGUAGAUAGGGGUGUUAGUCCUAUGUGAUUUAUGAGACCGAGUUUAGAAGACCUUGGCCAGGGCAGAAUAAAUAGCGGAAAAGGGUUUCCGAUAUUAGAAACUCGAGUCGAAUAAAUUUAACAUAUGACAGACGAUGGGGUUUGACGAGUUAUUCCAUAACCUCCGUCUAGUCGGGACUCAUGAUAGAAGGAUUGUAUCACACGGUAACUGCACCAAGAGGUUCAGUAUUCCAUUCUACUGGAAUGCCACUACAUGCUGCUAGGCGUCACUGGUGGAUUGUGAGACUCAUGAGAAUUAUCUAGAUGAUCGAUAAUUCUCAUUGGGCUGAGUUGGAAUUGUUCCGAUCCACUGAAAGGAGUUUCAGUGAUAUUGUUGAUAGUGAUCAAAAUAUAUCUCACUACCAGAUAGAAUAGAACCUAUGGGGUCACACACAUAAGAGGUUGUGAUUGAUCGGAUAGCUAGAUUGCGAUUAUUGAAUCGCCGGAGGACCUAAUUGUCAAUAUGUUGAUAAUUGGACUAAUUUGUAAUUGUUACAAAUUAGUGGUAUUAAGGUGUAAAUGUUACAAGAGAGGACUUACUAAUAGUUAGUAAAUUAGAAGAAGACUUAUGUGCAAAUGUUGCAUUAUUAAUUUGAUAUGAUCAAAUUAAUAUAAAGAUCGAAUCAAAUUAGGAUUUGAUCGAUCUAACCAAUUAAGGAAAGGAUAAAUUUAAUCUAGAUUUAUACUUAUUCUUAAUUGUCGUUAUAUUAUUAGGAAUAGGAUUAUAUUCCUAUAUAUAACAUACGGGAGUUUUUAGAAAACCCUAGCCGUUAUCUCUCUUCUCUUCUCUCUUCCAUCUUUUAGCAAGAAAGACGUCAUUUUGCAAGGAAGCUAGCACCCCGGUGAGGACAUCGAUCAAAUCAAGAACCUCGUGUGGAUACCUAUAGAGGCCGGACGCGUGUGCGGCUUCAAGAGAACCGAAUUCCACGAUUAUCAAAUUGAGGGGAAGAUCUAUCUGCAAAAAAGGUAAAGAUUCGAUCUUAUUUUUCUUCUUUAAUCUUAAAACAUGAGGGAUCCUAAUUGCGUGGUUUUUGAGAUUGGAUCUCGAGAGUUUUCAAAAAUCAAAUUUGUUUGAUUUCUUUUUCCGCUGCGUUUUUACUGUACGCAAUUUUCUAACAUUAACAACAAUAGAAAAUCCAAGAGAGGUGAAUUACAGUACAGAUUGGAUCAUCGACUCUGGAUGUUCCAAUCAUAUGACCAGUGAUAAAGACAAGCUGCUCAACACAACAGAAUAUAAAGGAGGAAGAGUAGUGGUGACAGCUAACAACUCGAAGCUGCGUAUCACCCACAUAGGAAAGACAAUCAUCACACCCAGAUGCAGCUCACAUCAAGUACAACUAUAGAACGUCUGCCAUGUCCCAGGUAUGAAGAAAAAUCUCUAAUCAGUAUCACAAUUGACUGCAUCGGGCAAUUAUGUAGUAUUUGGGCCACAAGAUGUCAAGAUAUUUCGCAAUCCCAAGAUAUCAGGUAUACAAAUCACGGAAGGAAAGAAAGUAGAGUCUAUCUACGUAAUGUCUGCAGAAUUAGCAUACGUAGAAAAGACUCGGAAAAGUGAGACUGCUGAUUUGUGGCAUGCAAGACUGGGACAUGUGGGCUAUCACAAACUGAAAAUCAUGAUGGAGCGCGACAUGCUUAAGGGCUUACCUCAACUUGAAGUACGAGGAGACACUAUCUGCGCAGGAUGCCAGUUUGGUAAGGCUCAUCAACUUCCCUACACUGAAUCCAAAUAUAGAGCCAAGGUACCGCUCGAGCUCGUGCACUCUGAUGUUUUUGGACCAGUCAAGCAAACAUCAAUUAGCGGCAUGUGCUACAUGGUGACGUUCAUUGAUGACUUCUCAAGGUACGUCUGGAUAUACUUUAUUAAAGAAAAAUCUGAAGUGCUGCAAAAAUUUAAAAAAUUUAAAGAAAAAGUUGAAGGCCAAACCGGUUAUAAAAUACGAUGCAUGUGCACGGAUAAUGGAAGUGAAUAUACCUCAGCAGAGUUCUCAGCUUAUCUGCGAGAGUGCAAAAUAAGGAGACAGCUUACGUGUCCACGCACUCCGCAACAAAAUGGUAUAGCUGAGAGAAAGAAUAGACAUCUAGCAGAAACUUGCAGAAGCAUGCUGCAUGCGAAGAAUGUGCCAUGCAGAUUUUGGGCAGAAUGUAUGAGAACAGCAGCACAUGUCAUCAACCGGCUGCCGCAACCGAAGUUAGGAUUCAUCUCACCCUAUCAAGUACUAUGGAAAAUCAAACCCACAGUAAGUCAUUUUCGAGUCUUUGGAUGCGUCUGCUAUGUGUUCGUACCGGACCAUCUUCGAAGUAAAUUCGACAAGAAGGCGAUACGAUGCAUCUUCGUCGGGUACGACAGUGAAAGAAAAGGGUGGAGAUGCUGUGACCCAACAACCGGUCGUUGUUACACGUCGAGAAAUGUCGUGUUCGAUGAAGCGUCAUCCUGGUGCUCCUCACAAGAAGUUAUACUGCCAGACUCUGAAGAAAUAGAAAUCAAGCUACAAGAAAAGCUUGGAGAACAAGAACAAGAAGGAGAAAAGGUCGUGCCAGAGCAAGAAGAAAGCGGUCAACCUUCAAUAGAGCCAACCGGUGACGAGCAGCAUCUCCAGAAGUCUCCAGAACCCUGGCGAACUGACGUGCAUUAUCAAACCCCAGAAGAAUAUCGGCCAAGCCAGCUUGAAGACAUAGGUAUGCAGUUACGAAGAUCCUCUAGGCAAAGAAAACCUAAUCCUAAGUAUGCAAAUGUUGCUAUCGCCGAAGAAGAAGAGACUCCAAAAGAGCCGACCUCCUACGAAGAAGCAGUUACAAGCAAGGAGUAGAGGAACGCAAUGGACGAAAGGAUCCAGGUGCUAAAACAGAAUCAAAACAGAAGAGCAAGUAGCCGACAUAUUCACCAAACGGCUAAGCACCACAAAAUUCGAAGAGUUCCGGAAGCGAUUAGGAAUGCUCAGCAAAGUAACAUUAAGAGAGAGUUAGAGUUGAGGGGGAGUAUUGAAAGAGGCAACUCUCUCUCUCUCUUUAAUAGAACAUUCUAGAAUACUCUAUCCCUUUCCAAUUCUCUACUAGCUAAUGGAGCACUCUAGAAAACUCUAGGAACAAAGUGCUCUCUACUUGCUAAUAGAACACUUUAGUGAGUUCUAGAAGCAAGUACUCUAGAAUAUUCUAGAGUGCUCAUGUAGGUAGGUUGGAGGUCUAUAAAUAGGUGUGAGGGCUCCACACCAAGUGUGCUUGGAGUGUGCAAGAGUGUGAGAGUGAAGAGUGAGAUAUAUAGUGAAGUAAGGAUGUGAGUAGUGGUGUGAGGUGAGGAAGUGUUGUGAGGUGUAGUGAAGUAGUGAAGUGAGUGUGUGAGGUUUGUAGUCUUAUAGGUGUAUGUGAAUGAGAGUUAUUUUAUAUGUAAUAAAAAGAGUUUUAUUAUUAGCUUGGUACGCCAAUAUUCUACAACUUAGUCCUUAAAUUUGAAACAAUUAAAAUAUCAAUUUUACUCAUUUGAGUUUUACCUUUAAUAAUUUUCACUCUGAAGUUUGACUAUUAUUUCAAUUUACCAUCUGUCAAUUCUGCAGAAUCUUUUAGUGUUAGUAAGGUGGUAUUUUUUUUUUUCAGAAAGUGAACUACCAAAAGGACUUAAUUACUUGUUAUGCAAACCAAAAAUUUAGGAUGUAAAGUAAUAUGGUUUAAAACUAUGAGUAUAAAUAAAAUUUAAUGUCAAACUUGAGCACGCAAGCAAAUUAAGGUUGUAGAGAUGAGAAAACAAUUCUAUUUGUAUGGAAUCAUAAUUUACUGAAGGUGAUGGUAAAAGAAGGGAAAAAAUAGUGCUUUAAUUCCACUGCAAUUUUAUAACAUCGAAUAAGAGUAUAUAGAAAGCACUUUUAGAUUUUCUUUUUUUUUUCUUUUUUUUUUGGCAUUUUAGAGCAUAAGAGCAGUAUUUUUAGAGUGCAACUUGGCUGAGGAACUCCUCGAUGAGUUUUUAUUGAGACAGUUUAGUGAGUCGUAUGAUUCACCCCGCUUGUGAAUCUUAAGAACUAUUUUGUUCUUAAAAUUUUCUAUCCCAAUCUCAACACCGUAUUAAACGAUAAAUUUAAUCAGUUAAGGCCUAAUAAGAUUGAAUUUAUCUAACUAGCCCUUAAAACUUAUUCUGUAUGAUUGUAUUUAUAGGUGGAUUACAGUUUUCUUUUUUUCAACAAUGGAUACGAUAAAAGAGUUUCCCUUGACAAGAGAAAAGAAGAAUGUAAAAAAAAAAAAAAAGCAAUUAUUUUCGGGCUUACUUGCUGCUUUUGAAAAAAUAUGUUUACUAGAUAUCCAAUAACAAGAAUAAUAACAUUAAUUAGUAGUUGUUUGUCACGCAUUUGGCGAAAACUCUCACCUACCAUCACUAAUAUUCACCCAAACUUAAAAGGGUGCAAAUUUUGGAGGCUAAUACAGGAUGUUGCAUAGUUUUAUACUUUAUGCAUGUAAGUAUGAGAAUUACCAUGCUUUUUCUACGCAAGCGAAUUAUUGAAUGUAAACACAUACAUGAUACCAUAAUGUACGUUACAACAUCGAGAAUUUCCCAAAAAAAUUUCCAUAAAGCCUUACUAAAAUUCCUUAUUCAAAAGUUUUAUAAAAUAAUUUUCUCAGGGCAUGAUAGCUUGUCUAUACAAGAUCUCCUUUCCAUCAGCCGGAGAGUACUUAAUUGUCGGUCCUCUCGCGUCGAACAUCUCUGCUGAGGCUAAAACCUCUGAAGCAUUCCAGUACCAAGGUUGCAGAAAAGCAGAAGCAGAAGAAGAAGCAGAUAAUGGUAGCAUAACAGAGCCCCAAUCCUUGAGCCCUUUUUGUACUUCCCUCAUUCUUCGACGAACCAAUAAGCCCGCUGAAUCUUCUCUUCUAAUCUCCGUCAGGGUUCGGGUUAUAGCCAUGCAGAUGAGAAGCACAAGCACUGCAUCCUCUUCCGGCGAAAACUCGACUGCAAGAAGCUUCCAGUUUAAAAGAGCUGUGGCUUUUCCUUCCUGGCUUUCUGAAGCUCGGACCAGCGUGAAGUAUUGGUCUUCAUCUUCGUCUCGAAUAAAUUUCUUCACUUGGUAUUGUAAUCUCCUCCCUCUCAGCAAUUUAACCUGAACAGAAUUUUGGAAUGCACCAUGACCCAUCUUAGGAGAUCUUAAAUUUGAUACUAUGAUUAUCCUUAUUUACUAAGUUGAAUUUUGGUAAUAGAAUUAGCAAGCUUUAGAUUCAAAAUAAACAACUAAAGCAGCCCAGAUAUAUAUUGUGUCUAAGCGUCAAGUAGAUUUGAGAUUUUCCCAAAUAGUUAUGUUACAUUUUUUUUUUUCUAAUUACAUACAAAUAUUAACUGAUAUUCACCUUAUCUCCCUAACAUUUUUCUUCAUGAUACCAAUAUAAGCUUGAAAAAAAAAUUUCAGGAAUAUUUUUGUUCAAAAAGAUAAUGAAGUGGAUGAAUGUUUAUAAGUUUUCGUUCCAGCGAUGCCAAGUAAAGUCGAUUUAGAAAGAGAUUUCAUUGAAACAUCUUGAAGUUGAUAUCACCAAAGGCUAAGCCAUAUUUCAAGAGAUAACCAACUAGUUUCCAUAUCAAAUGCCAAAGCAGUGCGGAGAAGUUUCUUUUUAUAUUUAAAUGAGAAGAAAAGAGCGAAGAAGAUAAUAUAUUAAACAAUACCGUUUCUGUCGAGCUGUCAUUUUCUAGCUGAAUGUCCAGACCAUCCUCCCAUUGAAUAGAUAGUACAUCUCCAGUAGAGAGACACCAUGCUACGUUCUUCUCGUGCAGAUCAUCUUUCUUAGGGGUCGCUGUGCCCACAACCUUCUCUAAACACCAGGGAAACACCCCAAAGCUCUUAAUUGUAACAAAACACGCAAAGAAAGAAGUUAUCUUUUACAUAUUUAAAUCCUUUCACUUGUUAAGAGCCUGUUUGGCUUGACUGGAGCUUCUAAAGUGUCGUACUGAGAAGCACCAAUAGUUUUUAAGUCAAAAUCCCCACAACAAGUUCUCAUUAGUGUAGAAGCAGAAGCUUCAAAUCAAAGCAUCUGCCUUGGUUACCCAUAAAACUCAUUUCAGUUUCUUAUCAUAGCAAAAAUUUCAGUAUUUUUGUUAGCCAAAUGCCUAUUUACUACUUGACAUAGAGAAGCUAUUUCAGCAGCCAAGCUCCAACCGACUGUAAUAGCUAAGGAAAAAAUUAAAGCCUUUUAUCUAAGCUAAGAGAGCAAAAAUUGCAAGUUUUUCCCACGAAAGCGAGAAUUACAUAGACGAACUAGUGGUACACAACUCAAGUAUCUACUCAUUUAUAAAAGCUAAAUGCAUUUAUCGACUUGGGACAUAUCAUACCAGGAGCAAAACCGACAGAACUUGCAAUGUACGACCACGAGCCUUCCCGCACUUCUAUGAUUCUCUCCUCCCAUUUCACCGCCAUCGGAGUUUCUGCUCCUCUACGCCAUAUCCCUUUGCCUACUCUACACAAAGAAAGUAAAGAAAAAAAAUUAGUAAACGUAUUAACCCCAUAUUAUUCUUUUACAAAUUUAAAGUAGGUAGAAGAAAAAGGAAGGCAAAAAUGCAUGAUCUACCUAGUUCGAAUCACGAAACACUCCUUUCCCGUGUGAUCGAGGACUGUGCGGGAGAGCCACCGCCCUUCUUGUGGGCGAUGGGCCCUCUUUUCUAAGAUCACAUCAGAAAUCAUUGCUCCACUGUCAUCAGUCACUCGAUCAGGAACACACUUCAAUAAGUAUGAUGCCUGAACUGGAGGCGUAAUCGACGCCAGGAUCCAUGCUGGAAUGUCAAGCUUUUCCUUGAGAGUCAGGGUGGUCGCGCGCAACAAGUCGUUCCAUGAGAAAACUAGAGUUUUAAGCGACUUGCUGCUACUUAGGCAAUUAUUUCGGUGGCGGCGGACCUCUACUCUGAUUCCUUUGGUGCCAAAUUCGCAAUAAAGAUGCCAUGUCUUGCGCCAGUUUUUGGAGGAUGAUUCUGAUGCCGGCUUAUCAAGCUUCAACGAUCUAUGACACCGUAGAGUUCUUAGUCGAAGGAAAUUCUUGUUUAGGCGUUCUGUCUCCUCGAAUUCUCCCUUGAGGAAUACACAAACCUGGCACUCACAAGAUAAUAUAAUGUGAUCUACGCAACCCCAUGAACUAAAUUAAGAUGGAACGGAGAAAAUUAGUAUAACAUUUAAGUGACAAUUACAGAAAUUUUAACUCCGACAAAGUGAAAUUUCAAAUUGCAUCUAAUUCAUAGAAGAAAUCAUCUAUCAAAAUGUGAAAGCUCUACACAUUCUAUGUUAUUUCCUGUGUGAAGUUUUUGGCCUUGGAAUAUUUGACAGCUGAAAUUGCUGCUUUAAACAAAAUCUAUAUGAAAAAAAAAAAAAGAAGAACAGAAUACAAGCCUAUAAAUUGUAGUAGUCAUUUAUGUUUUUCUUGGUGAAUCUUUAAACCUAGAAAAUAACUGUUAAGUGGAUUGUGCUUAGUCUAUAAAUAGCAAUACUCACAAAAACUCCAAUAGAACUUGAUAGAGUUGGACUUUCAACCUUUAUUGAUGUGUGGAAUAAUCAACACAAUAUAUGUUAAGAUUCUGAAGAUAAGCAUGCAAGUAAUCGAUGGUCUCGUUUGGCAUCAUUGAACUCUUUUUGGUUUUUCUACAACACUAAUUCUAUACAAUAUGGUAGACUGGCAAAAAGACUUUCCUUUUGUUGUUAUGGUUGGUUAACUUAUAAUGCAUUCCGGCUAAGUGAUAGAUGACAACUUAAAUAAAAAAAAAAAAAAAAAAAGAAAGCAAAAAAAAAAAAAAAAAAAAAAAAAAAAAAAAAAAAAAAAAAAAAAAAAAAUUUGCUACCAAGCUUUUGUUUUUAGUUGCCAAACAAAUACCUUGGAUCCAAGGAAUGCAAGUAAUCCACCAUUCCCUCCACAUUUUUUUUGGGUUAAUUGCAUACAAGUCCCUGCAAACAUAGUGAAUUGCAAAUAUAUUCCUACAAAAUUCAAUUUUCAUAUAGUAUCCCUAUAAAAGUUCUAAUAUUUUCAAAUAUGUUCAUGCUGUUAGAAUCCGUUAGAAAAAUUUAGUUAGCCAUAGAUUAAAUACUUAACACUAGUUAGUUUAUAAGAUAACUUGACAUUUUUACCCCUCUUAUUUUAAGGGACAUAUUUGUGAUGGUAAAAUUGAUAUUUCACUUAUUUGUUGUUAAAAUAUAAACAGUUCUCUAACAGUAACAAACCAGAGGGAUAUAUUUGAAAAUAUUAGAACUUUUAUAAGGACAACAUACGAAAGUUGAACUUUGUUUGGAUAUAUUCGCAACUCACUAUAUUUGCAGGAACCUAUAUGCAUUUAACCCUUUUUUUUUUUGUAGAAAUUCUAUUAAGACAAAAAAAGGAAAAGACAACGAUGCCAAACAAGGCUAAAAUUAAAUCUAAUAAAAGGACUAUAAAGCAUGUAAAUUUCCUGAUAAGAAAACAGUUUUUCUGGAGCAAAUUUAAUGGUCCAAUUGGCCCAACAUGCAGACUAUAAUUAGUGCCACCCUUGAUGGAAGAACAUGUACACCUAGAAGAACAUGGAAUAUGACAGGCUUUAAGUUUCUCAUUUUCUUUUGCUUUGAGCAGCAUUAAGGCCAGGUGGCCUUUUGCUAGGAAUCAUUAUUAACAUGCGGCUAGAAAUGAAAAUGAUGCGUGAUGCGCUUUCACUUUCAUUGUUUUCAAUAAUAGUUUGGUAUCCCUUUCUCCAAAGUCAUUGCUUUGAUAUUGAAAGCACAUAAAAAAAUCCAAAAGCACUUCAAAAUUCUAUUCUAAUGGUACAGAAUAGCGAUAUGUUUAUCAGAGAAGCAUUAAGGCGAAAUAUUAGUAAAACUCUAAUAGCACAGAACAGCGGCGGCGGAAAUAUUACCAGAGAAACAUUACGGCGAAUACUUCCUGAUAAAGGUCUCCACCAUUGCUUAUAGCAUUAGAAGAGCAGAGCUUCAAAGUGUUUCAAACUUUUAAAGGCUUCUAAAGUAUUAAAGAGGUUGUAUUUGAAGAAACCGAUUCCAAAAUGGGGCUUAGUGCUAGUUUAGGAUUACAGUGUUUAAACAUACCAAUCUCAAACAUGUUUUGAGAGGAGAAACUCCAUCACUCCCGUAUGAAAUUGUGGUAUGUGUUAAAUUAUAUAAAACAACCGUUGUUCUCCGCAAACCUAAGCUAUCGAACAACGGUAUUUCCAAGCCUCAUGCUCUAAUACUAUGUUAAAUUAUAUGAAACAGCCAUUGUUCUCCAAAAACUUGAAGUUGUCGAAGAACGGUGCUUUCAAUAUUUAUAUUUUAUAUGCAAUAGUGCAAACCGUCAUCAGUUGCCCGCCAGUUUAUAAAAUUAGAGAAAAAUUUCAAAAUGCUUUUACAUUUCUUUUAGUCUUUAAAAUAUAAAAAUAAAUAUAUUUUACAACACAAUUUCAAAUUAAGCCUUACUUAUCGUCACAUCGCAAUCACGGCCCACUCUAUAAUUUAUCCAACUACAACCAACUUGUUGGACCUACGUAGGAUUCAAUGACACUAGACACAACCUCACAGAAAACGACGAGGACUACGUACCAACUCUUCAAGGAAUUUUUUUUAUCUAAUCCCAUUAAUGGUUAGAAAACAUGGUUUGGUCCCCACUGACACUUGGAAACGCACCAAGCACACAAAAAGCGAAGCUUGAAGGGAAAGUUUAAUUCACCAUAAUAAUUUAAAUGACGACAAAAAUAGUUAAAUUUAUUUUAAAAUGAAAAAUUAUUUAUUAAAAAUGAAUUAAAUUUUAAUUAAAUUAUAUUCUAUUUCCUGUUUGAUAAAAGAUAAGGUUUUACUUUUAGUAUAUUUAUGUUUUCUCAUCUAUUUUUAGUUAUAUAUUAUAAGAUAUGGGUUGGGUUAAAUAUACCAGAUGUCAUUUAAUUGGUGGAUAAACAUCUUACCUUAAAAUCUUUAUUUUCUCAAAUCCAAAUAUUUAAAUUUUUAUAAUUAACCACCUAAAUAUAUAUUUUCCCAAUUUAAAGCAACUAAUAUUAACAAAACGAUUAAGAAAUAAUAAAUAACGAAUGCAACCAAAAUGAAAGAAAGAUCUUUUUAACAUUAAAAAUAGUAACCGACUGUCCCUAACAUAAGUGACAAAAGACUUGAUGGUUGAUACCCGAGAUCUCAAGUUCGAAUCUUAUUUGAUUCACAUUUUCAGCUAAGUUUAUUUCUAAAAGAAAUAAACAAAACAGAUAGCAUGCUACCUCUCUCUUUAAAAAAUAAUAAUAAUAAAAAUAGUAAUAUAAUUAUUUAGCCAGUCAACUUAAGUUAGUAACAUAAACCGACAAAAGUUAAGAUUUUUUCGUGCAUUUAAAUCAUAAGAUAUGUGAUAGACUAUUUUGGAAUAAUCAACUACAUACCCUUCAAAAGUACACAAAUGUGACCCUUUAAAAGUUUCCGAUUUUUCUAUCUACCCCUAAAGAGUUUACGUGAUAAAGCCUACCCUGCUAAAGUUUCUUAACUUCAUCAUCAGCCUAACCUCAGGUUAAAAUGGACGGUAGAUUUUUAAAAAAAAUAAAUUUCAUCAUUUAAAUGUUUUCCAAAUUAUAUUUAAAUAAAUAUUUUUUAUAAAACUAAUGACUAAGGAUAUAUUUAAAAGAUAUGGGAACUUUAGAAGAGCAGAUUUUAUAAAACACAAAUACAAAGAGGUAUGUAGGAAAUUGUCCCUAAUAUUAUUUUUUAAGGAAUAAUUGCCUAUUGCCUAUAUACCCUUCAAUGGUCAAUACUUUUGAAAUAUCUUAUUUAUUCCUUCUUUCUUUUUGUUUCAAAUAUACUCCUCGUAUAUUUCUCCAUUAUUCAAAAAUAUUCCCGCUACUAGUACCCGUUAAGUCAUCUCGUGUUAAAUCUGAAUUAAAUUUCUACCGGAGUUAAAAAAAAGUCAAAAUACCUCUUUUGCCUCUAACUUAAAGGUAAAAUAAGAAAAGUUGAUGACGGUAAAACAAUAUAUUUGAAAACCAACGAGUCAAAAUACUUCUUUUUGCUCCUAACUUAAGGGCAAGUAAAAGAAGUUGGAGAUAAUAAAAAGUAUAUUUGAAAAGGAUAAAUUAGUAAUUUCAUAAAGAUAAUAGUUAUUUCUAACUCUAGAGAUAUAUAUUUGAAAGAAUUUAAAAUGUUAAAAAGAUAUUUUUAAUAUUAGCCUUUUAAACAGGAUAAAUAAGAAAUCGGAAAUUUUUCAAAAAUAUAUAAGUUAAGAAUGUUUUGAGACGAAAGAAGAGAGAGAGAGAGAGCAGCUCACUUCCAUGAGGAACCUAGGCUGCAUGGCCUUGUACCGGCUGUUGGCGUCGGCCUCCGCGGCGUACCACCCGAGCGCCGCCCUCGUGGGCGCCGCCGCAGGGUCGAACACCGUCCCAGCCCUCCUCCCACGCCCUCCGUGACACCUCCUCCUCCGCCACCGUCGGCGGAGGCAAGUCCCCGAACCCCGCCACCUUUUUCUCCAUCGCUGCCGCAACUUCGUCCCCCAUUGCUUCCAUGUCUCUCGCAUACCGACCCGGAUAGCUCUGCUCAAACAACACCAACAAUAACGAAACACACACAAAAUAAAUACAUAAAUAAAUAAAAUUUUAAAAAAUUUACAAUCAAAUCAAAUCUAUGCAUAUCCGCACGUGCGUACAUGUUAAUUUUACUUAAAUUUAUUUAUAAAUUCAUUAAAAUUAAUAAGUUUAAUUAAAUUUACAAUAAAUAAAAUUACAGUGAUUAACAGUAAAAACCAUAAUAAUAGUCAUUAAACUAAAUAAAUUUGUAACUUACAAAUAAUCCAAUUCUUUUUUUCUUAAAAAAAAAAAAAAGGAGUUUGAGAGAUUAAACGGCCUAUAGUUAAGAAGGUUUUAGACCAUUUUAUUUAAAAAAUUAUACAUUUACAUAUUUUACCUAAAAUUAUAUACUUUAUAUUUUAAUAAGUAAGUACUUACACUUGGUAUUCAAUUAAGGGGGUGUAAAUUCUACAUCCUAGACUUUGUGUGGCUAAGCCUAAAGCUUUAUCUACUAAUUUUAUCAAACUUUUAUUUUAAUAAAAGUUCAAAAAAAAAAUUUUAUGGGCCAUUGUGAAUGCAAUUAGUGUAUCAUUUGAAUGAUGAAAUUUAUAUAUAUUUUUUAGGCUAGCAGAAAAAUUUUCUAUAGUUAUUCGCUUUUUCACUUUUUCUUUCUUAUUUUUAAAAAUCUAUAUCAUGUCCCUAUAAAAUUUUAAAAAUAUUUUUUAAAAAUUAUGACAUUAAUGAAAAAGCUGAAAUGACCAAAUUAUCCUUACUUCUUUUAUAAAAAAUAAUUUUUUAAUAUAUUUAUAUUAUUUUAAAAUAUAUUUUCAGUAUAAAUUAUAAGAAAUAGAUGGGAUAGUAAAAAAACCUUGACAAAGAGAGACUAUAUAUAUCAACUUAAAAUUUUAUAAAAUAAAAUAUAAACUUUUAAAAGUUAUGAAAGAAAAGUAAAAAAAUAAUUAUAAGAUUCUCUAUAUUUUAGCCUAAUUUUUAAGUUAUAGAGUAAAAUGCAGCGUACGCAGGAGGGUUCAAAUUUAAUUUUAUAGCCUAGAAAACUUCAAAUAUUAUUCAUGUGGUUUUGUACUUUCUUACUUUAGUAUUCUGUAGUUUAAAAUGCAUCACUUUCGUAUCCUGUGUUUUCAUUUUUUUCUUUCUAUUAUUCCCUUCGUUAACUUUUCUAUUAAAUCAAUAAUAAAGUUUUUUUUGGAGAUAUAAGUAGCACGCUACCUGCUUCGUUUAUUUUAUUUAGAAAUAAGUUUAACUGGAAAUGUAAAUCAAUUAGAAUUCGAACUUGGAUUUCGGGUAUCAACCACCAAGCCCUUUGCCACUUGCUAUAAAAACGGUCGGUAAAUUAAUAAUAAAGUUAAAAUCACAGAAUACUAAAGUAAGAAUUUGGUAAACCACAGAAUAUUAAAGUGAAUAUUGAAUAAAUCAUUGGUCGGAUAUCUAAAGUUUUUUACAUAUUACUUAACGGAGAGUUUUAACAGAAAUGCUUAUGAAAAGAAAAAAAAAAAAAACAUAAAACCAUAAGGUCCUGUACUAAAAUGAUAUACUUUAAACUGUAGGUAUUAAAAGUGCGAAAUUACGGUAGUGGUAUUUUAAUUUUUGCUCUUUGUUUGUAAUUUAGUAUGUACCUUGUGGGUGAGCCACAUGAGGAGAAUAUCGUUGGUGGGCGCGAGGCGGACCCCGUCGUCGCCGCCCCCGACCCCGACCCCGAGUCGCUUAACCAGGUCGAGGAAAUCCAGGUACCUCCGCUUGGCCGAGACCAGAUACACGGUCUCGUACGCGAAGGGGUCCGCGAACAAGUCGGCGACGGAUUCCCACCUCGCCACCGUUCCCAACAUCUCGUCGCCGACUUCUCCCCCUCCUCCUUCGACGGCGCAGAUCUCGAGGUCGAACGGCUCCGACGGAUACCGGACGGCCCAGAUCUCGCGGCAGCGGUCCGCGGCGUAGUCCUCGUUCUCGUCGUCGAGGAUCAGAGGCCGGUCGAUCAGGAACCCGAAUCUCGACGCGCAGUAGUCGCGGUACCCGCGCUGAGAUUUGGAGAUUUUUUUUUCUUUUUUUAAUUAUCAAACAAAAAGAGAAACUGCUUGAAAUUUUUUACGAAAAAAAUAUAUAUAAACUUAUCUGCUCUGCAAGCCAUUUUAAUUCAAAUAACCUAAUUUUUAAAAUUUUUAAUUUUUAGUUCCUAAUCUUUUAUAAUAAUAUUAGAUUUAAAUUAUUUGAUAACUCGAUCGCUGCAGAGCAGAUAAGUUUAUAUAUAUUUUUUUCGUAAAAAAUUUCAAGCAGUUUCUCUUUUUGUUUGAUAAUUAAAAAAAGAAAAAAAAAUCUCCAAAUCUCAGCGCGGGUACCGCGACUACUGCGCGUCGAGAUUCGGGUUCCUGAUCGACCGGCCUCUGAUCCUCGACGACGAGAACGAGGACUACGCCGCGGACCGCUGCCGCGAGAUCUGGGCCGUCCGGUAUCCGUCGGAGCCGUUCGAUCUCGAGAUCUGCGCCGUCGAAGGAGGAGGGGGAGAAGUCGGCGACGAGAUGUUGGGAACGGUGGCGAGGUGGGAAUCCGUCGCCGACUUGUUCGCGGACCCCUUCGCGUACGAGACCGUGUAUCUGGUCUCGGCCAAGCGGAGGUACCUGGAUUUCCUCGACCUGGUUAAGCGACUCGGGGUCGGGGUCGGGGGCGGCGACGACGGGGUCCGCCUCGUGCCCACCAACGAUAUUCUCCUCAUGUGGCUCACCCACAAGGUAAAAUUAAUUAUAAAUAAACAAAGAGCAAAAAUUAAACUUUCUCAUUUUUAAUACCCUACAGUUUAAAGUAUACCAUUUUAGUACAGUACCUUAUGGUUUUAUGNAAAUUAAAUAAAUAAAAAUUUUAAAUUUUAAAUUUUAGAAAAAAUUUGAUAGUGAAAUCAAAUUAAAUAAAUGAGAGUUGAGAUAAAUUCUAUACACAUUUACUUUUUCUUUAAUUGGAACAUAAGUGACUUGAAAUGGAUUACAUUGUGUAUUGGUGCAAAAAAAAAAAAGAAAAAGAAAUUAGAUCUUCGGGAUGAAUGUAAUUGAUUUAAAUUCAAUUUUUUUUUUCUUUUAUUUUUAAUUAAUCAUCUAACUAGUAAAGAAAUUAGAAAGAAUACUUUUUAAAUAGAUAAGUUUUCUACGACAAAUUAUGGCAAAUUCGAUCUCAAAUCAUCGGAUUUACUUAUACUCAAAUCAUUUCAAAUCAUCACAAAUAAAUUUUUCGAAAAAAAAAAAUAAUACAUAGAAACUCUCUCUCUCAACUAUGUGCCAUUCUGAAAAAGCUCCCUCAACUAUUUGUUUUUUUUUUAAUUGAGACAUUCCAAAUUUUAAAUUUUUUAAAGUUUAAGUAAGUUUUGAAUUUGACAAAAUUUGUAACGUCCGAUAAGUGUAAAUACUCAAACAACUAUUCCAAUUACCAAGAAAAAAAAAAAAAGAAGAAAAGUUGCGUGGACCAUUUCAGAAUCGGUGGUCACCAUACAUUUUUUUAUACAAAUUAAUAAAAUUUUGUGACAGUGUUAAAAUUUGAGAAAAUUCUCUUAAAUUAAAGAAACGAUGAAUUGAAGCAAAUAAUUAAUUAAAUUUUCAAAAUCGUUGGAAUUGUGUGAUUUGGGGGAGGAGCUUUAAUUGCUUACGUGGUCGAGGCAGUGGCAGUGCCAAAUCCAGUGCACAUCCAACGGCGGCAGGAGCAUCGCGGCGGACCAGGACCCCGCCGCCGUCAGAUCCGCGAUCAACGGCAUCCACAGCUCCUCGUACCUGUGCACAAAUUAACCCUAGCCGAUCAAUCGGAGCCGUCGCAUCGUCGGCGGUUUCAAAUUAAUCCAACGGCGACGAUGAUGACGAUGAUGAUGAGAGAGAGAGAGAGAGGGGGGGAGGGGUAAGCGCACCGGCGAAGGGAGCGGCGGCGGAGGGGGAGGGGGAGAGGAGGAGCCGGCGCCGGGGCCGGCGGUGCCGGCGGGGCUGACGGCGGAGGAGNGGCGGCGCCGGCGCUGAGGUCGCUGCGGCGGCUGCGAGCGCGCGAGGAGUCGGAGAACGAGGAGGAGGCAGAGGAGGAGGAGUUCGGGGUGAUAUUCUCACCCCCCAUUUCGGGCUCCGUCGCGCCGCGGCUCCCGAGUGGGGGAUAGGUUGGUGCGCGAGAGUCGGUGGGCCGAGCAACAUAUAUGAUACAUAUACCGCACUAGAGUGAGUGAGGCCAAAUUAUCGCGUGCACCCGGUUUAUCCGUACAUCUCAUGCACCGUAAUGAAUAGGUUUGGCGAAAUUACACUUUUGAUCCUCACACAAUGCCCGGUUAACACUUUGGGCCUCAUUUAAUUUGCUGCAAUUUUUUACUCAAAUUUUUUAAAUUAUUACACUCAAAUCCUAUAAUUCAAUUUAGUUAGUUUAAUAUUGAUGCGCCGCAAAUAUAAAAAUGAUAUGACAUUUUAAUCGUUGUUGCAUAAUCUAUCGCAUUACUUUCAUAUAAGGACAUGGUAGUCAAGAUUUAGUUAAUUAAAUGGGAUUGUGGAACUUAUUUAUAACAAUUAAGAUAUGUUCAAGUAAAAAAUUAUUAAUAAUUUAAAGUUUGAAAAUGAAAGUCUCACACGCUUCAUAGUUUGAGAAUCAAAAGUAUAAUCUAGAAAUAGUUUAUUAAGGUUCGGUUUCUAUUUAAUGCUAUUACGUAAACUAAGCUAGAACACUAGAUAAGUAUUUAAUGCUAUUUAAUGCUUCUUCAUUUUCUGGUGAGACUGCAUAAAAUAUAUUUUAAUCGAUUUUUUAUGAUUUAUGCAGCAUAAUGUUGCAUACGAAAAUAAAUAAGGUAUUUUUUGAUAAUUUUUACGUCAAAUUUUAAACGGAACAUAAUGCAAUCGCUAUGCUAUCCUAAAAAGAGUCUAAAGCUAAGCUAGAACACUAAAUUGUUUUUAAAGUAUCAAGCAUUUGGUACUUUCACAUUACUUCUCAUGAUAAAAGUAUCAAAAUCAACGAUCGUGUUGUUAAACAUAUAAUUUAUAAUGCGUCAACUUUUCAAGAACAAAAUUUUAUAAUUUUACAAUAUUAUUUACUUAUUGUUCAGUUAGUCUCAAAAUUAAAAAUUUUCAAUGAAACAUAUAUUCGAGACUAAUAAAUUAUUGCAAAAGUAAUGCUAAAAUAUCACCUUAUUAAGAAGUUUGAGUAUCAAAGAUUAUAUUUAGCAGUAUCGAUCAUCCAUUUGGAUUAAAGGUGUCCGUAGAGUAGGUCGGGUCUGGUUAGUUAAUAUACUGUAUUCGUACACUAAAAAAGAGAGUAAAAAAAUAUAUAUAUAUCCUACCCAUUUAAUUUCGGAUUGGGUCCAAGUCUAGAUACUUACGAUAAUAAUAUACUCACCAGAUCUAUUUGAGCGAGUCUAGGUAGUGACUACCCGCAUACUAACCCACUUAAGACCAGAUACAUGUUGGAUACAGAUCGGGUCUAAAUCGGAUAUCGGUAUCCGUAUGCAUAGUUUUUCAUGCACUUUAUUAAAUAAUCUAUGUAUAAAUCAUAAAUUUCUCACUAUAAAAAACUUGCAUUCUAAUAAGUUGCACCUAGUCCAAUAAAAUUCGUUUAAUAGAAAUGAUUCGAUCAAUAAACGAAAUGGUUAGGAUUAAAAAAAUAAAUAGUAAAAUAAAAAAUAAAAAAAAUAAACAUAGUGACUGGGGUUUUACUAGGAUGCAAAUAUACAGAGAUAUAUAAGUCCUAUUAAAAUUGAUCCCUCAACUUCAAAUCUUCUUUUCUUUACUAUUGGGUAUUUUAGCAGGUCUAGGUCUAGGUUCAGAUCUGGAUCCAGAUUUAAAAACUCGUUUAUACCCUACCUAUUAAAAGGUCGGAUUCGGGUCGGGUCCAAGUUGGUUUAUGAGUAUAAAGUAUAUCCAUUCUUUAUCAAAUCUGGUUUGGGUCUGGAUAAAAUGAAAUAUUAGGUAUUUUGGACCGCUUUAAUUUGGAUAUGUACGUCAUAAUAGAGAAACGACAAAAAAAAAAAAAAAACAUAGCACACUACAACAAAAACGGUCUAUAGCGACACUUUUAAAUGUAGGUACAUGUCAAAAAAGUGCUGCUAGCUAAAAUUAUCGACAAUUUUAAAAAGUGUUGCUAUAUGUGGGGUCGCUAGGUAUAUAGUGACAAUUAAAGAGUGUCGCUAUAACCUAAAAGAGUGCUACUAAUUUACCAACACUUAUUUAAGCAUUUAGCAACCGCCGAAACUCUAUCUCGUUGGCUGCGGUAGCGGAGGAGGACGACAGGAAAGACUCUUCAUCUAGAAUUUCAGUGGAUUGAGUGAAGAAAGAAGAAAAGAUGGUAAUUGAUUUUUCUUUUUUUUUUCUUUUCUGUUUGUAAUCGGGCCAAAUAAACUGGGUGUGGUGAGUUGAGUAAAGUAAUCUUUUAUUUUUGGUUGGGUUGCGCUUUAUAUUUAGGCAUUAGUAGAUAUUUUUUUAAGUUUUAGUAUAAAUGGGACACUUACUCAAAAGUGUCCCAAACAUGUGUCCCUAUAACCUAAUUCUGUUGUAGUGGCAAGGGCUUAAUACUUCCAAAAUAUAUUCUAACAAAAUUCUAAUUUUAUUUUAAAUGUUUUAUUAUGCAAUUUACAAUAUUACCUUAGUAUCAACUCACCCUAAAAGCAAAUUCAAAAAUUCCAUAAAUGAUAUAAUUAUUAAGGGCUUGAAAUAAGAAUCUAAUGAGUCUAAUCAGAUUUAUGCAAUUUUAGAAAACGAUGCAUUAAAUAGCACCGAGCUAUCACCGCAAUAUUUGAAAAAAUUAUUUGAUUAAGACAGUUUGAAAUUGCCAUAAGGAAAGAGUCCAUUUUCAAGCAUCAAAAAUGUUUAAAAAUUUAAAAAUGCUUCUUCUCUUUUCCCCUAGGGUCUGUUUGUUUCAGACGAUUUAAACUCUCUAAUAAUUUUAAGAACUAUAAUCCUAAUUGAGUUUCAAUAUGGUAGGAGUAUUUUUCUUUGAUUCAUAUCUUAGAAUACCUAGGAUUGUACCAUGCUCAUGUUUAGUUCAACAUGGUAAAUAACUGGAUUGUACUGAUGAGUUUACUAUAAUAUCCUUAUUAAUAAAGAUUGACAUAUUAUUUAUUAUUUCAUACGAAGUAGGACGAAAAAUAUUAUACUUAAAAAGAUAUUUUAGUCUAAUAAAAUCAAUUUCUAUGGAAAAAAAAAAAAAAAAAAUCAAGAGAGGGAGCGUGUUUUGAAUUCUCACUUUUUAUGGGAUUAAAAGAUGUUGUGAAAAUUAUAAAUUUCUGCCGGUUCAAAUUUCGGUGAUUAACCAACCAACAAUAGAAAUCAAUCAUUCUUAACCUUCAUUCCUAGAAAAUUUUAAAAAAUAUUGCGAAAUAGACAUGCCCUUAAGGCGUGUUUGGUUCGGAUUAUCCUGCCAAAACUACGAGCAAUCCUGUCAGGAUUACUGCGUUUGGUUUAUCCAAUCUGUAAUCUAGUCGGUAAUAUAGCAUUACAAAUAGUGCAAGAUUACUUCGAAAAAUAUCAUAGAUAGGAGGGUGCAUGUAUCUCGUAUUAUUGAUGUUGGACUAUUUUGCAUGUUAUAUAAAAUUACAAAUUUAUCCUCCAACAUUCCCAAACUCUUUCAAUACGUAAUUUUUAAAAUUUUAAAUUAUCAAAUUUUAAAUUUUAAAAUUUAAAUUUUAAAUUUAAAUUUUAAAAUUUUAAAAUUUUAAAAUUUAAAAUUUAAAUUCUUUAUAUUUAUUAUCAAUAGUAUAAUAGCCAAACACUCUCUCUCUCUCUCUCUCUCUCUCUCUCUCUCAAUAUAUAUAUAUAUAUAUAUAUAUAUAUAUAAUCCGACUAUGGUGCUAUCGAAGCACCACGCGAGUGGUGCUUCUAAUUAUUUAUCCCUCGGAUCAACUCUUUGACCAUUUUUAGCCCUUUAUUUAUUUAAUAUUAUUCCCUUAUGAGGACCUUCUAGGGAACCAUUAAAUCCUAGAGGCUGCGUUUGGUUUAGGUAUAAGUAAGAACUGCUUGUUCCAAGGAUAGAUACAAGUUCAGUUAUAAGCAGGAACUAGACCAAUUUUACGUUUGGAUGAAAAUUGAGUUAUUCCUAGGAAUAAGGUAAAUAGCGUUUGGAUAGUUAAAUUGGAACAAGAGAAAUAGAAGUUAUAAUUUGAAAUUAACAUUAUAUUAUCUAAUUAAUUAACAUCAAAAUAUUACUUAAAAAUAAAUAAUAAAUAAAUUAUUAAUAAAUAAUUAUAAAUAAUAAUAAUUAUUAAUUAUUAAUUAUUAAUUAUUAUCAUUAAUUAAUUAUUAUUAAUUAUUUAUAAUUAUUUAUAAGUAAUAAAUUAAUUAAUUAUUAAUAAAUUAUUAAUAAUUAUUACUUAAUUAAUUAAUUAUGUAAUUAACUAUUAAUAAUUAUUUAUAAGUAAUAAAUUAAUUAAAUAAUAAUUAUCUAAUUAUUAAUAAUAAUUAUAAAUCAUUAUUAUAAAUAAUAAUAAUUAUUUAAUUAUUAAUUAUUAAUAUAAAAUUUAACUAAUAAUAUAGAUUAUUAAUUAAUCAAAAUAAUUAUUUUAUUUUAUUAUUAAUUCUAAUUAAAUAAUAAUAUUAAUAAUUAAUUAUAAGUAAUAAAUUAAUUAAUAAUAAUUAUCUAAUUAUUAAUAAUUAAAUUAAUAAUAAUAAAUUAAUAUAAUUAUUUAAUUAAUAAUUAUUAAUAAAUAAUAAUUAUUAAAUUAAUAAUUAUUCUUAUCUAAUUAUAAAUAAAUAAUUAAUUAAUUAUUUAUUAUUAAGCAAUAGAUAAUAAUUCAAAUAUAUUAAUUAGAUUAAUAAUAAUUUAACUAUCAUUAAAAUUUAAAUUUAUAUUAAUUAACCUUGUUCUUAUUCGGGAACAAGCUUGUUCCAGAAAAGGUGGACACAGCAGUUCCAGCUAAUUCAGUCUUAAUAACCAGCUAGCUCUAGAAACCAGGAACUACUGUUCUCGUUACCGAACGUUGCGUUUGGAACAAGGGGGAACAAGGGCUUAUUCUCCCCCCUUGUUCCCGAACCAGAACACUACCAGAGAGACUACUAUCACUUGAAUUCUAUAAUUCAUGAUCUCGGGGCCAAAAAGUCAGAAUUAUCAAUUCUUUUAUGCUUUCGGAAGUAUAGUAGCUUUACAUUGUAUAUAUAUAGAGAGUACGGCUAUGGUGCUUUUAAAAGCACGAAGCACUUAGUGGUUGUAAGUUUUUCACCGUUAGAUCCAUCUCUUUGACCAAUUUUACUUCUUAGAUCAUACUAUUUCACCAACCACACACUCAACUUUAGGGACUAUUAUUGUCCUAAUCCUACAAAUUUUCAUCCAAAGGCUGAAAAAUGUAGAAACACUAAUGACUUGGUAUAUGUAUACAUAUAAUUGAGCACAUAUACUUUUAAAAGCAACAAAUCAUUGGUGAUUGUAGAUUUUCGGCAUUGGAUGAAGAUUCAUAGGAUUAGAAUGAUAGUAAUUCCUUAGGAUUGAGUAGGUGCUUGGUGGAAUAGUAUGAUAUAAGGGCUAGAAUUGUUCAAAGGAAUAGAUCUAACGGUUGAAACCUACGAGCACCAAGUGUUUUUGGUGCUUUUAAAGCACCAUAGCAACUCUUUAUAUAUAUAUAUUAUUUUAUAUAAUUUUUUAUAUAUAAUAUAAAAUGAUAAAUAUUUUGGCUUUUUAAUGUAUGCAUAUAAAUUUUUUUGAACAAUAUAAAUAAAUUAUGUCUGGUGAAAAAUAUUUUUUAAAAAAUAUAUAAACUAUUAACAAAAGUUUUAUUAAUUUUCAUUCAUGUGAAAAAUAUAAUAAUAUUUUAAUAAAGUUGAUAAUUUAUAUAUGAUAAAUAUAGAGUCCGGCUGCUAUACUAUCAGUAACACGGAGACUUCCGUGCUACAAAAUUGUUUUUAACGAUGUGGGUUCCAAAUCGAUGAUCGGCUCUCUUAGACUUGAUCUACACUAUCGAAAACAUUUGAAAACUAAAUUUCAUAAUUUUUUGACAUCAUUUAGCUAUCAAAUAAGUAGUUUAAAGUUAAACGGCUAAAAAUAAAAAUCUCAUAAAAAAUAAUGAUAAAAAAUUUGAAUAUAAAAUUAGAGGUAUUGAUCUUACUCAUAUAUAAUGAAAAAAAAAAAUUAUAAAAAUUUCAUCAGAUUUGAAUUAUUUUAUACCAUUAAAUUCACAAACGCAUUAUAUCGAUCAUUAAAAUUGUCAAUUUUGAAACAUUUUGAUCACUAGCCAAAUGAUGUCGAAAAAUUAUGAAAUUUAGUUUUUAAAUACUUUCAAUACUUUCAAUAGUAUUGAUAAAGUCUUGCGGAGCUGAUUGUUGAUUUAGAAGCCGCAUAAUUGAAAAUAACUUGGUAGCAUGGAGGCAUCCGAGUUACUUAUUGUAGCCGGCUACCUCCAAUUAUUAUAAUGAUAAUAUUAUAUUUUAUUAAUGGUGCUCAUAUCGUACUGGUAUUUUAAUUUUUUUGAAACCGUUAAAUCGUCCUGUCCGAGUAGGGCCGUGUUCUGUGUUCUGUGUUCAUAUAUUGCUGCGAUUUCAAUAGGUACGAAUACUCGAAAUUUUAUCUGAACCCAAAUACGAACGGAACGAAUUUAUCCGAUGUUAAAUGGAUAUGAUUUCGGAUAUGAAUAUCAAAAAUAAAAAACCCGACGGAUAAGGGUACAGAUAUGGAUUUUGACUAUACCUGACCCAAUCCGAUUCGAACCCAAAUUUAUUUUACAUUAUAUAUGAUAUGUAUAUAAAAAUUUGAUGUUAUAUUUGAAUUUGUAUUUUAAAAAUUUAGAUUUAAUGUAAUAUAUUUUGAAAUAUUGAAAAGAGGAAUAAUUAUUUCGGGUUCGGAUUUUUAUAUUCGAAUUUGGUUCAGAUUUCGAGUUUUUAGUUGGAUUCGGUUUUGGAUAAUUGGAUAUGGAUUUUUGAAAUCCAGUAGGUUUGGGUUUGGAUUUCGGGUUCAUAUUCAAGUUCGGAUUUUUAAAAUCUGCCCCGAAUCCGACCCGUUGACAUCCCUAGUGCCGCUUAGGUAUGUAGGGUUUAAGGAAUACGGUGCAUGAGAUUUGAGGGUACACCGAGUGCACUGAAGAGUUCAACUUUGAAGAGAGUAGUUGUUUGGUUUGGCUUGCUUUUUUUGUACUGCACCGAUGACCUGUCGUCCCUUUUGUCGAGAAUGGAGUGAUUCACCCUCAAAGGUAUAAAGUCGUUACUUCAUGAUAUCCGUCAGAUCAUGAUCAGACGCUCCGUAUUCUGCAGCUUUUAACUCUGCGAUGCUGUACAACUAAGGGUGCAAACGGAUUGUCGGUGGCGGAGUUUCCGACCUGAUAAGUCUAAACAAAUCCGCUCCGCCAGUUUGCACAGAAGUGGGGUGAAAGUGGGAAGGGAAAAGUAAUUUUGGGUGAAAACAGACCACUUCCGUUGUUUGGUUUACUGUAAUUUUAUUAUACCCGAAAGUCUAAUUCAUCCAAAAUAAUGAAAUUGACUUCUCCCUUCCAUAGGGCGAAGUCAAUUUCGGUGAGGUGAAAGGAGGCAAGAGUGAAAAUUAAUGUGUUAGGGUUACCCUCUUCUCUACCCUUUCCUCUCCGAGUUUCAAACCCAAUUCCAAAUAUAUUCAAUUGUGGAAAUAAUUAAAUUUUUUUAUUUUGAUUGUAUGUCUAAAAUAUGAUCAAAUUUGGUUAGGUAAGUUUUAAUAUAUUUUUUGUUUAAUUUGUAUAUUUAUAAAAUAAUGAAAAAUGAAUUUGUUAAAUGUUAAUAAUUUUUUAACUUUAGGAUUUUAUUUGUUGUAUUAUUAUAAUUUAUAUGCAAACAAAUAAUCAAAUUUUUAAAAAUUUUAUUUUAUAAUCAUACAUAUAUAUAAUUAUAUACAUAUAUAAUUAUAUUAAUUUUUAUUUAUUAUAAUUUAUUAUUCACUAAGUUACAAAAUAGACAAUGAUAUCACUUCGGAGGUAAGUAUACCGGGGGUGAAGAGCUACACUUUUUACGUCAUCUACUUCCAACCAAACAAAUAACAGAACUCGCAGAACUGCACUUCCACAGUUAAAACAAACAGCGGAAGCGAAUUAAUUUUCACCCCAACUCCACUUCCAACCCAAGUCUACUUACGUUGAAACAAACAUGCCCCAAGCCCCGCAACGAAUCUGUCCCGAAUAAAUAUGUAACUUAUAAAAUAAAUUUUUUAUAUAUUAGUUGAGUUUUAAAUAAUUUUUUUUUCCUAAAACAAAUAUAAUUUGAAAAAAAUUGCUUUCACUAUAUUUUUAUUAUUUUUAAAAUUAUAUUUUGAUUAAAAUAAUAAAAUUUGAUUAUAUUUAAUUAAAUUUAAAUAAAAAGUAAAAAAAUAUGGAUUUCGGUGCAGGUUCUAGAAGUCGGCCGCAGGUGGAUUUUUAGGUGGGGCGGGCGGGUUAUGGAACAUAUAUUUUACCCUAUCACGGAGGAGGGGCGGAUUCGUUGUUGGCGGAUCGAUAGGCGAGGCAGGUCAGGUCCUCUAGCCUUAGAUCCACCCUAUUUGCACCCCCAUGUAAAUCUUUUUUUCUUUUUUGAAUAUAGAAUAAAACAAAACUUUAAUUUGCCAGUGCGUUUUCUUUUUAUGAUCAUAUAAUUUAAAAAUAGUUUAAUUGCACUUUUAGUCCUCAAGCUUUAAUUAGCAUGAUAUUUAAGUCCCCAAAUUAAAACUUUAACUUUUUUCAUAAUUUUGGGCUUAUACUUUUUAAAUUAUCGUAAUUAAAUUUUAUAAUUCAAUUUAUUUGACUAGAUACUGAUUUAUCACUAAUAUGGUAGUGGUGUCGCAUUUUAAUAAUUACCACCUUAUCAGUUAAGGAGUGGCGAUGCAGUGUUUGGCCCACGCAAGACUGUUCGUCAAACGAUGUUAAUAGGCCAAAAUAUAAAGUGCCAACCCUUGUGUUAGUGAUAUUGCCUGGUAGAGUAAUAUACUUAUAAAUAAAUUUUAAACUAAAUUAUAAAAAACACUUUUAUAAAUGCUUAUUUUUUUAUUUUUUCUUUUUAACUUUUAAAAACUUAUAUUUUAUCCUCUUAAUAUUUUAAAUUAUUAUAUUUAGUCUCUCUCGGUCAGGAUUUCAUCGCUAUUCUAUUCAUUUUUUAUAAUUUAUACCGAAAGUGUUCUUCAAUACAUCAAAAAAAAAAAUUAUAGAAAAAAUAAGUGCAAUUUGGUCAUUCUGCCCUCUCUAUUAACACCGUACCCUUCUGAAAAUAUUUAUGAAACUUUUAAGGGACAAAAUAUAAAUUUUUAAAAGUCAAGAAGAAAAAGUAAAAAUGCAGAUGUUUAUAAAAAAAUUUUUUGUAUUUUAACCUAAAUUUUAUAACACUUUAUAAAUUAGUAUAAGUUGUGGGAAUUGAGCUAGAAUACUUUUAGAAGCACCAACCUCUUGGUGCUUCUAAGUUUCUACCCCUUGGAUCUAAUCCUUAAUUACUAAUAGCCCUUGGAUCAAACACUAUUCCGCCUACCACCACCUACUACCAUCGUCUCAAUCCUAUAUCUUUCCAUUCAAAGACAGAAAAACUCAAAAGCAUCACUCUCUUGGUGCUUUUGAAAGUAUUGUAGCUCAACUCUAAGUUAUGAUAUUUAAUUAGUAAAGAAACAUAAAUUACAAAGAAAUAAGAAUGGCUUAUAAUUUAUUACAGUUCACUCAACCAUCAAGUUAUGUAAUUCAUAAAAUAUUAAAAAAUUUGUUCAUAGUAAGUAAAGUAUUUUUGGUGCUAGAUGUGCUUCUCAAACACUCAAGUUUCCACCUGUCCUUUAAUUAGCCCAACUUCCUGCCGUCAGCAGCUAGGUCAGUCAGCUAUUAGAUCCAUUCGGACAUGACAGCAAAGCAUUAUCUUUUACACCUAACCCCCAUGAGAUUAUUCCACAGAAAGCUAUGCGAGUUGAAUUGUCAUGCUAUAAUCUAUAACUAACUAGUUAAGAAACCCGCGUAAAAUUACUAUUAUAAAUAAUUAUUAUCUCUCCAAAUUAUUCUGUAACGAAUAGAAAUAUAUAGAGUAAAAAUAUGGCAAAGUGUAUGGAAAAAUCUACAGCACAGAGGAGAAAAAAAAAAGGAAGAAAAUGAAAUAGUUAAUUACAAAAUUUCACCAUUCAUAACUUUAUAGUAAGUUCAUAGUAAGUGCUAAGCAUAUUCAUUAACUUUAUAGUAAGUAACCUACUGUCUAUAGUGCAAGUGGCAAAGGGCUUGCUGGUUGGUACCCAAGAUCUCAAGUUCGAAUCCUAGUUGAUUCACAUUUUCAGUUAACUUUAUUUCUAAAAGAAAUAAACGAAGCGGAUAGAAUGCUACCUUUCUCUCUCUCAAAAAAAAGUAACUUUACAGUAAGUGAAAAGCAAGAACCAAAAUUGUAGAUCAAUAUAUAUAGUUCAUAAAUUGAUUAAACAAAUAGGGGAAAAAGGAGAAGAUUAGAAAGAAUAUAGUAAACAUGGUAAAAAGAUCAAUAGCUUUAGUAAGGAGAACUGUAGAAACAUCAGCAACAACACCAGUAAUAAAAUCAGCAGGAAACAAAAUUGAAAACCAUAAAUAAUAACAUCAUCAAUACAUAUAAUAAAAGGCGAACCUAAACUCGCCACGCGUCGUCUCCCCAGCGACCCCCUUCCCUGCUCAGCUCUGCCCGCUUCCUUCGCUGGCGGCGAGUGGGGUCACGUGCCUCCCGCCCCGCGUCUCUCCUCUCGGUGGGGCCAGAUCCGCUGCCCUCCUCUCUCCGAUCCCUCCUCUGUCCAAUCCGGGCCCCACUGCUCCCGUGUCAGGUGUUUGUCGCGGCCAUAGUCCCCCACCCACCCCGCACAUGGACGGCCCCUCGGGAAUUCUCUCUCUCUCUCUCUCCUUUCUUCUGCUCCCGUCUCUCCCCUUUCUCUCUCUGUUCUCUUGUCUCUCUCUCUCUAGCGCGCGCGGGGGCGGCGGGUCGUGGCGCGCCCCCGAGUUCUCUCUCUCUCUCUCCUCUCUCCUAUCUCUACUCUCUCUCCCCUUCCUCCACCACCCCCGGCCUUCUCUCUCUGUUCCCCUCCUUUUCCUCUCCCCCUCUCCCUCCCCGGCCUCUCUCCCCUCAUCUCUCUCCCUCCCCGCCUCCGCUUCUCUCUCUUCUCCCGCUUCCUCCCCUCUGGCGCGCCGGCGAAGUUCGCGGGCCGGGGCGGGUCGGGCGGCGGGCGGGGGACGUGGAGCGCGAGCGGGCGCUGGUGCGGAUACGCGGGCGAUGGGCGCGAGCGAGCGCCGGCUCGGAGACGUAGACGCAAGCGGCGCGCGGGGCGCGCGAGGGUGCGGGUGCACCGCUGGCUCAUUCACGAGGUCCACAAGGCUGAAGUGCCUCGUGGACCACAUGAGAGGGAGGUCCACGGUGGACCUCCCUCUCAUUCUCUGUAUAUAUAUAUAUAUAUAUAUAUAAUUUUAUUUAUUAAAAAUAUAUUUAUUUAUUAUAUAUAGUAUUUUAUUUUUAUAUAGAUAUAUUAUUAUAUAAUAAAAUAUAAAUUUUAAUUUUAUACUAUUAAGCAUUUAGAUAUAAAUUGUAUAUUAAAAAAUAAAAAAAAAGAUUAAUGCCGUUUAAGUUAAUUUUUAAUUUUUUUCUUCUUUUCUUUAAAAUCUAAUCUAAUUUUUCAUUUUUUAAUAUAAAAAUUUAAAAUAUGUAAAUAAUUUUUAAAUAGAUUAGAUUAUUUGUAUUAAAUAUAAAUUUUAAUUUUAUAAUAUUAAGCAUUUAUAUAUAGAUUGUAUACUAAAAAAGAAUUAAUUACAUUUAAGUUAAUUUUAUAUUUUAUAAAAUUUAGUUGCGAGAAUCACAUAAUAUAUAUUAUCUACGUUUGUAGAACUAAGUAAUACAUUAAUAUUUUUAAAGUCAAAAUAUCAUUGAUUGACUCAAAUUUAAUAUAUCAAAAAAUUAAAUAAUUAAAAUAAAAUUUUGAAAUAUUGGAUUUUACUUUUAGUCCUUCAAAUUAUGAGACGAAUAAUAUUUUAAUUUUUGAACUUUAAUAUAUUAUAAUUUAAACUAUAAGGCAUGUGACACUUUUUAUUCUCAAACUUAAUUAGUCAUAAUUUCUGUCUUACAAUAUGAGAUAUAUAAUUUUAGUUCUCAUCUUUUUGUUUUUUCGUACUGCAGUAAUCUUUUGUUUACCUGCUCAUUAUGGUUUCCUGAUACAUGAUUUCUUUUGAAAUGCUUUGUAAGUGUAAACCGGGUUGAUUUAUUGUUGAAGAAAAAGAAAUAUUAGCUAUAAAUAAUGUAGUACAAAUGAAAUAAGCUAAAAAACUAAAAUACACAAUCACAGAAGCAAACAAAAACAUAGGAUGUAAUCCAUAUAUCCAAAUGAAUCAAAAUGAUGCAUCUAACAUGUCACAGUAUCUCCUAAGAACAGCUGAACAAUAAGCAGUUCGUACGGUUUCUAUCUAAAUUUAAAGUUAAAUGUUUAAACUUUAAAAGUUUUUAUUAUUUAAAAUGUAAAGCAAGUUAUUCGAUGCAUAUAAAGCUUUAGAAUUUAAAAAGAUUAGGAUUCAACAAAAUUCUAUAUAAAAUCAUAUACCCAAAAUAUACAAACUGAAUUAAACUAAAAUAUAUUUUUUAAAAUUUAAAUUUUCAAAUUGUAAAUUUUAAAUUUCAGAAUUUAAACAAAAGAGAGUUAGAAAUUUAAAUUUUAAAUAAAUUAUAUAAAUUUUCUGCCGCGAAGCGCGAGCCUACACUAGUAUGUAUUAGAGCUCGAUCGGAUAUAGAUUUCACUCUAGGUAGAUAUGGUAGAGCAAAAAGCUGACUAGACCCUAAGUGUAUGUGUUAGGACUAGUCGAGCUUGGUUUGACUUUCACUCUAGGUAUAUGUGCUAGAGCAAAAGGUUGAUUAGACUCUAAGGUAUCGUUUGGUUCGGGGAUAAGCAAAAAGUGGUUAUUUUAGGGAUAUGUAUAAAUUGAGGUAUAAGCGGGGAUUAGAUCAAUUUUGCGUUUGGAUGAAAAUUGAGUUAUUCCUGAGAAUAAAAAAAAUAGCGUUUGGUUAGGUAAGAUGGAAUAAGAAGGAUAGUGGGUAGUUAUAAAUAAAAAAUAAUGAUAUUACCCUCUCAUUAUAUUUGAAUUUUAAAUUUUAAAUUUUAAAUUUAUGUUUUUAAUUUAAAUUUUUAACUUUUAAAUUUCAAAAUUUUAAAUGAAAAUUUAAAUUUUAAAUUUCAAACUUUAAAUUUAAGAUCAAAUGUAAAUUUGAAAAAUAUAAAAUUUUAAAUUUUAAAUUUUAAAAAAUUUAAAAUAUCAAAAUUUAAAUUUAAAAUUUAAAAUUUGGAAUUUAGAAUUAUGAACUUUAAUUUUGAGAUUACAAAUUUUAAAUUUUAAAAAUUUAAAUUUUAAAUUUAAAUAUUUAUAUUUUAAAUNUACAAAUGAAAUAAGCUAAAAAAUAAAACACACAAUCACAUAAGCAAGCAAAAACAUAGGAUGUAAUCCAUACAUCCAAAUGAAUCAAAAUGAUGCAUCUAACAUGUCACAGUAUCUCCAAAGAACAGCUGAAUAAGAAGCAGUUCGUACAGUUUUUACCAUUGUAUUACAGCAAUAGCUGCUUAUUCUUUAGUUGUUUUUUUAAUAUAAUUUCUUGACUUUUUUUUUUGUUAUUUUAUCUUAUUUUUUUUAUUUAGCCCUUUUUAUUUUUUUUUGUUCUAUGGUCCAUGUAAAAAAAAAUAAAAUUUUAAGUUUAAUUUUAUAAUUAAUUUUACGCUGAGCCCGGCUUCGGCUGCGGCGGCCUUCGGCGGGGUCGGCUUCGCCGCGGCGGCGGAGGUGGCAUACUCAACGGCACGGGAGAGGAGGAACCCGGCGGGGGAGGGGUGGCGCGGAGGUGGCAUACUCAAUGGCGCGGGAGAGGAGGAACCUGGCGGGGGAGGUGUGGCGCGGGAUAAUUGGGGCGCGGGGAGUCGCCGCAACCGCGGCAUGGCCGGGCAUCGGCGAUCUGCAGGCAGAGGAGCGGGUCGGAGGCGGGUUCCAACCAGCAUUUUUUUUUUUUAUCUUACAUUUUCUUUUUUUCUUUAUAAUCAAAUCUAAUUAUUUUCUCUUAUUAUAAAAAUUUUAAAUAUAUAAUAUUUCUUAUAUAAUUUUUUAAAAAUAAUUUAGAUUAUCUAUACAUAUAUUAAAUGGGGAUAGAAGCUUUCCUAAAUUUUGCAAUUUUACAAUUAAAAAGUUUAAAAUUUUAGGUUUCAAAUAUUAGAUUUUAAAUUUUAUACCCUUUUUCUCUCACUCACUCUCUCUCUCUCACUCACUCUCUCUCUAUCUAAAUUUAAAGUUAAAUAUUUAAAAUUUAAAAGUGUUUAUUAUUUAAAAUGUAAAGCGAGUUAUUCGAUGCAUAUAAAUCUUUAGAAUUUAGAAAAAUUAGGAUUCAACAAAACUCUAUAUAAAAUCAUAUAUNUAAAAUUUAAAUUUUCAAAUUGUAAAUUUUAAAUUUCAGAAUUUAAACAAAAGAGAGUUAGAAAUUUAAAUUUUAAAUAAAUUAUAUAAAUUUUCCGCCGCGAAGCGCGGGCCUACACUAGUUAGGAAUAAAGUGUACUAACAAAGCAUAAGCAUAGAAAAUCUAUAAAUCUCCAAUUUGCCCAUCAAAUAAACAUGAAAAUGCUUCAAUCUCAAAUGUCAAUAAAGAAAACUUAGAUACUCCGAAGUAAAAAACAUCUUUAAUCCAUAUAUCUACACAUAAAUAACAGCAAAUGGUUGUCUCCAUGGCAAACUGUCCCAACUUUGCAUAUCCGUCAUUGUACUACUAUAAAUUCAUCAGAAGAACAGAAGAGAAUGGAGCAAUUUUUGAUAAUACUGUAUAGUAUACCAUCCAAACUUUCACCAUAUAUCAUUAUAUUAUUUUGGUUUAAUCAGAAGAAGCAAACAAAAUAAAAAACUAUUCUCUAAAAAAAUAACUAAAAUCAUAAAUUCAAUUUGAAUAAUUCAGUUUUUCCCAAUUAAGAGGAAAGAAUCUUACUGUCUAGAAAACACCAUCAUCAUAGUCUACAGAAAGCAAAUAGAAAAAUNUUAUUUUCUAUUUACUUUGCAAUGCUAAUUUAUGAAUUUCUUUAUUGUUUAUGCUUUAUUAUAUUUGAUUUUUCAAUUUGAAUAAUUCAGUUUUUCCCAAUUAAGAGGAAAGAAUCUUACUGUCUAGAAAACACCAUCAUCAUAGUCUACAGAAAGCAAAUAGAAAAAUCAAAUAUAAUAAAGCAUAAACAAUAAAGAAAUUCAUAAAUUAGCAUUGCAAAGUAAAUAGAAAAUAAAGGUUACUUUUAUGGACAAACACUUUCAAACAGCUAAACAAUGAUGAGAAAAAAAAAAACCAAUCAAUCCAUUAUUCCAAAAGAAACUCACCACUUUUGUUCAAGAGAAGUUAUAUAUCAUGCAAAUCAAUGAUUACAAUGGUUUCCAUAAUAUAAUCGUCAAACAAAAAUCUUAUAACUAUUGACCAUACUUGGAAAAAAAUCACACUAAUUUGCAAUGCAAUUAAUAGAUGUAAUUGAAUAAAUUUUUGAGUAACUUAACAACCUCUGUUAUCUCAUUAUAUAAGUCAAAAAGUUUACAAUAACCGUAAUGUAACACACUGGACCUUUACAAAUUGCGAGGUUCGAGUGUUUAAUCUGUGUUUCGAAUUUUUCCAGAUAUUCCGGAGGGUCGUCGACAGUGUUCCAACCUAUGGCUCGCAUCCCGAGAAUCGAGGUUUAAAAUUUAGCACCAAACCUCUAAAGUGAAGAAAAUUGGGCUGCUCUCGAGUUUGACUCUGCAGAGCAGAGUACCUGUACAGUAUUGAGCUUGUACCGGAAUGGGAAGUGGUACCGGUACAGCAUCGGGUUUGUACCGGUAUCAAGAACAGUUUUCUGCCUACCCGAGGCUCGGAUUUGCGCGCACAGUGUUUGGUACCGGUACUCUUUUUCGUGUACCGGCACGCAGUGCAGACUGCGAACUGCUUAUUUUUUAGGGGUGUUUUUGAUAUUGUAACAAUUCUAUAUAACCCCCCGCAGCCUAGAGAGGGCUCUUUUGAGCCCUAAACCGUAGAGAGCCCAGGUAGGACUCCUCUACUUGGAUUUUCUCUCUUUUUUUGAGGAUUUUGCUUGGUUUAAUCUCCUCUCUUUGCUUCUCUUUACUUCAUGUUGGAUUUCCACCUAUGGAGAAGCUUUGAUUUCAUGAUUGGAGCUUGAUAGAGGAAGGAUCUUCAACCCUAGCUGGUUUCUUGUGUGGUUUGGAGCUUCUAAAGAGGUUAGUAUCUUGUUUCCCUCAUUUAAUCCAUGGUUUGGUGGAUUUUUCUUGAUGAAAUCCUAGAAUGUGAAAUUAGGGUUUAAAAUAGGGAUUUUUAAUUAGAGGCUUUUGGAACUCAAUUGAUUGAGUUAGAAUCUUUGUUUAGGUUGGAUUAGAAGGACUCUAACUCUCAUUUGGAGAUUGAGAGAGAUUUUCACCUUACAAUGUGAGUUUUUGCCUUUUUCUUGGGUUGAUUUAAGUUUGAUCGUAGAGUUGAUCGUUUGUUGCGUUUAACUCUCUUAAUAUUACCUUUAGGGUGCUAGGAGAGUAGUGGACACCUUCGUCAGCGCAAACGAAAGGUUGCGAGGAGUCCCAGUUGGUUUUACCUCACCGAAAAUGGGAGAAAUUUCUCUUAUGUCAUUUUUAAUUGUCGUAAAAUAGAAAUGCAUGCAUAUUCAUGCUAGAUAGAGCAUACGAGAUAUUUAGAAUGCUUAAAAUACAUGUGUUAUAUUUUAUGAAAAUUAUCUCUAUAUAGUAGAGAGAGAUAUAUGCAUUGUUAGCAUGCAUGAGAAUAGCAUUCUAUUAUAAGAUUUGGAAUCAUGUUUCGUUCAAAGCAAAUGACUUAUAUAGUAUGCUCUUGGACUUAGAAUACAUGUUUGACAUAGUGGACAAAAGUGCCAUAAAGGGGCACUCAACCUAGUAAAUGGUUAAACUGCAACAUGAUGACAUAGAAAUAGACCAUGAGAUCACUAGCUUUUAUACCAUAUUUUAGACAUGAUGACAUUGGACUUGAGACGGAUAUUUACGUUUGCUUGCCAUUGUGCUUAUUCGCACAUGCUUGUGAGAGUCGCUCUCCACAAGCCGGCACUCCGGAGAUAGCCAUCGCGACAUAAGCUCGCAUGUGCGAGAUUGGGCGCCGAAAUGGAAUGCCGUGGGGGAGGUCAUUCCUAGGGUGGGAAUGUUGACUACCACGGGGCCAUUAGGCAUAGCGCAAGCCGGACUACCCACAGGUAGGUCUUACAUGAUUGGAAUAUUAUUGGACGAAAAUGCAAAGUAAACAUUAGACAAGUUAGUCAACAAUGACAUUUUACUAGUAAUGCUUGUGGACAAUAUGUUGUUUAUACAUACACAUAUUCAUAUUAGAAUAACAUUUACACUUAUACAAAUUCAUGCUAAGUAGAGGCAUAGUAGUUUUACAAACUUUAUUCAUAUUUAGUGUACAUGUUAUUCAUUCUAUUUAAAUGUUAGAACUUACUACUUUUACUUUUUGUCUAGUGGUGCAUUUUACUGAGGUCAGUAAUUGCCCACUGUGAACUAUUGUUUAAUAGUUCUCACGCCCCUGUUUAUUGAUGUUUUUCAGAGCCAUCCGCACCGGUGGAGGCUUGGGAUCGUGGCAAAGGAAUCGCAUAGCUAGUUAGCGAGGAGUAUAUUUUUGCUAUUAGGUGAUUCUCUCUCUAUUUUUGUAUCUUGGUAGAGAGUGAGAGUUUUGUAUCCAUAUAUACAGACCACCAUUUUCAUAUGUUUAGCACUUGUAUUUGGGUUCCUUUUGUAUUACUUCAUGGUUUUAUGUUAGUGGAUUAGCUCUUUUAUUUACCUUCUUGUUCUAAAACCUAGUUGUUGUAUGCUCUGAUACUCUUAGAUGCUCAAUUAUUAUUGUUUUUAUUUAUCGCUUUGUUAUAUACGCUUUAUAUGUUGUAGGCAUAUAACGAGUCUCGCGCACCGGGCGGGAUUCCGCUGGGUCCCGGGGCGUAACAUGUAAACUUUCUUAAUGCAUUAGAUGUAGAAAAAGAAAUGAAACUUGAGAUUUAUAAACAAAGAAAAAGAGGUGGUUCUCUUUUUCUGUUUCUUUUUUUUUCUAUAAACUAACUUGCGAUGAAUAAUUCUGCAAAAACUUUAUUUGAAGGCUUGUCAAGAAUGAGUUUGAUACGUAGCUUUAGCCAUAUAACUUUUUGAAAAAGUUAAACCUAAAAAAUAAAUGACAGUAAUAAAUACAAAAAGGAGGUAAAAAAAAUAAAAAUACCUAAUCUAUAUAUUCGCAAGGGGCUGGCCCGAGCACGGCACGUGCCUUCCGAGCCUAAGGGCCAUACCGGGUUUGAGGCUAGAAAGCUUUGGCUUGGCACGACCCGGCCCGAAUUCGAAAUUAGGCCGAGCUGGGCCAAGCCGGCUCCUAGCCCGUUUCAGCUCCGCCAAUGUGGAUCGUGCCAGCCUGACACGUCCCACAUUACACCCCUAGAUAUAUAGAAAUUUAUCCCUAAAUACAUAUCAAUCUUUCACUUCUCUAAUUAUUAUUUUUAAAGAUGUUCUUUAGUUUGGGGAUUCACAUAUAUUUUUAUGUCAUGGUAGCAUUUUCCAACGACAAACAGUCGAGCAAAUUAUUUAUAAUUGUAAUAUUUUCUAUUGCACUAAAAUAAAUAAAAUAUAUUUAGCAAAUGUAUUUAUAGUUACAUCCAACUAUUCCACCCUUUAAUUCAAGUAUAUAAUAAAACUUAAGUAUUUAAUUAUAAAAAUAUGAAGAGACUAAAUUUUUUUUUUACAAAAAUGUAGGAACACCAAUCUGUAAUUAACCUACACAAAUGACUAGAACUAAACUCUUCUUAGGCACUAGAGGUGCCUAUACCACAACCAAUGAUCACCCUGGAAACAAUAGUAGCUGUAUCGAACAGCGACAUAAAAGUAUACUGGAUCGAAAAUAACUAAUUUAAUCAGUAGGCCAACCACGGGUCGAAUAAGUAAUAUUAGAAUAAUAUCAUAAAUAUUUAAUUAUUCUUUUAAAAUUUAUAUAUAUAUAUAUANGAUCAUAUUAUUCAACCAACUACCCACUCAACCUGACGGGACCAUUAUCAUUCUAGGUGGGAAUCACCAUCAUCCUAACCCCACAUCCCAGCAAUCAACGGUUAAAAAUUUAUGAGUACAAAGAGUCUAUACUCAUAAGAGUAUAGUAAGCUCAGCCUAUAUAUAUAUAUAUAUAUAUAUAUAAUUAGACUGGAAUACUAUUAAUAGUAAAAUCCUCUUUUUGCUAUCAAGUUUUUAGCCCUUGGAUGAAAAAUUGUAGGGUUAGAAUAAUAUUAGUCAGUUAGAGUUGAGUGGUCCCCCUAGGGUUGAGUGGUUCCCACUGGGUUAUAGUAUUUAAUCCAAUAGUUAGAAAUGAUGAAAAGAGUUAAUCCAAAGGCUAAAAAACUGGUAGCAACAAUGGAAUUUUGCUACUAAUAGUAGCCCAGUCCAACUCAUAUGGAAUUAGACUGGAAUACUAUUAGUAGUAAAACCUUCUUUUUGCUAUAAAGUUUUUAACCCUUGGAUGAAAAAUUGUAGGGUUAGGAUGAUAUUAGUCAGUUAGAGUUGAGUGGUCCCCCUAGGGUUGAGUGGUCCGUACUGGGUUAUAGUACUUAAUCCAAUGGUUAGAAAUAAUGAAAAGAGUUGAUCCAAAGGCUAAAAAACUGAUAGCAACAAUAGGAUUUUGCUACUAAUAGUAGCCCAGUCCAACUCUAUAUAUAUGUAUAGUCUUUUAUACUAUCUAUAGUACUAGAGCUCCGGUAUUAUAGUCUCGUUUUCAAUUUUAGGGUGUUCAAACCAACAAUCCACGCUGUUAAAACUAUUCUAGGGUAUCGUACAUAAUUAUUGAAUAUUGAUUUUUAGAACCAAUUAAGUAAAUAUCAGUUUUCAAGUUUCACCUUUUGUAAGACUGGUUUAUUAAAAUAGAAAAAAAAAUGGUUAAUUAAUUAAGUUGAUUUGAAGCAGUUAGAUUUUAAUAUGGCUUAAUAAAAAAAAAAUUUGAACAGUUUUGUUAAACCUGGGUCAAUUCACCUAUUCGAUAAUUGAAACGCUCGUUCAAAUGGUUCAAAAUGAUUUUUUGAUUUAUACGAUUUAAAAGAUUGAACCGAACCUUUUUAUAGACUAGGUCACGACUCAUUCAAAUCAAGUUCGAUUGAGCUCUAACACAUAUAUUUAGAGUUUAUUCAAAUUAAAUUCGACAAAUCUUAAUACAUAUAUUUGGGGCUUAGUCAAAUGCUCUAGCACAUGUUUCUGGAAUGAAACCCAAAUUAAAUCCAACUAAAUCUAGCACAUAUACCUAGAGCUUAGUCAAUUUUUUACUCUAGCACGUAUAUCUCGAGUGAAAGUCAAAUCAUACCAUUUGAACCCUCCAGUUUGACCCAAAUUUUGAAUCAUCAAAAAUCUAUUAAACAGUAGAAUUUAAGAGCAGUGUCAUUCAUACAUCCAAAAAGUAGUGCAAAUUUUACACUUUUUCUGAGGGCAUCUACACAAUCUUUUUGCUUUCUUAUUAUGAACAGAAUUUUCUUAAGUCGCUGCUCACGGCUAUUAGAGCAAUUUCUGAUUCAUCGCUUUUGUUGUAGGUGAAAGCUUUAUAUAUUUCUAAAAUUCAUGUCAAGGAAUCAUAAGAUGGGCUGAGAAUUAUUAUUAUUGUUAGAAUAAAAACAGAGCAGAUCUAUUGAUCGGUUGGGUACAAAAACACUGAAAAAAAUGGAGAAAGAUUUUAUUUUGCAAGCAUUAGCGACAAUGCAUUUAAUAACGAAAUAGAAAAAAAAAUAAUUUAACAAGUUAUCAGGAGUUUAAGGACGAUAAAUAAUAAUAAAAUAGGAAGAAUUAUUUAUAGUAAAAAAAGACUCCAAGACUUUUUUGUCCAUAGGUCAACGAAUUUAAUUUAUUAUAUCAAAUCCUACAAUAUAUAUAUAUAUAUUUAUUUAAAAAUAAACUUAGCUAAAAAUAUAAAUUAAUUAAAAUUUGAACUGUAAACUUUAAAUAUCAAUUGUUAAAUUUUUUAUCACUUACACUAGAUAUGGUCGGUAUUGGCACUAAUUUUGACUCACACUUGAGUGCAAAUGAAGGGCUGCAGACUUGCAGUGUAGAAUAGUCAGUAGCAUUGCAGACGGGGGCUGACGGGAGCAUCUGUAACCGCCGUGUGCUGUCCAGCUCGACCGCAACAUCCCCAGGAGCCUGCGGCCAAAACGGGCGGGGCGCGAGACUCUUCCCCAUGACGUCCAGUCAGCCGCUGACUGCCGAGUCCAAAAAAAACGCUACUCCUCCUCGUCCUUCUUCCCGCCACGUCAUGCCCGCGUCUGCACGCUCUCACUCCAUCCAUCGCCCAUCCGCCUGUCUUCCUCGCCCUUUCCCCAAACUCACAACCCUGGCCUCUCUUCCCGCUUCCCAUCACCUCUUGCACGAGUUUUGAGGCCAGUGAUUCAAAUGGAUCCGGGUUGACGGUGUUUCUGUUUGGAUCCAUUCCGAAUGAGAGCCCAUUUUUAAAGGAGAAAAUAAACAAAUCGGUCAUUUUAUAAUCCGAGACAUAUUCGAAAUUGACCCGCCUCCUUUACGAUACGAUCCGCUCCGCCUAGUCCUCGCACAAAUCAUCGUCGACCCUGCCCAGAAUAAAUAUUUAAAUAUUUAAAUAAUAUAAAAAUGUAAAGUUUUGUAGUUUAAAUUUGAAUUAAUUUUUUUAAAAAAAUUGGUAGGAUGGAUUUGAGGUAAGAUUUAAUUUGGUAAUAUUAUAGCUAAAAGUAUUAUUUUAUAUUUUAAAAUAUUUAAAAAUUUUAAAAAUAACUUUAAAUUUUUUUAUUUUAUGUUAUAAAACUACGAGAGCAACGGACACCGUAUUACUAAGUUAUGCCUAACUGAACUUUUAGAACAAAUUUUUUAAAAAAGGGGCAAUUUCAUGGAUACCCCUCCCAAAGUCUAAAAUAUCAUAGAUGUCCCUAUAAAGUUUAAAAUAUCACCCAUACUCUUGUAAACACAGAAAAUUAUCAUCAAUACCCUUAUUGUUAGUUAUGUUAGCUUUACCAUAGUUAUUAAAUGGUUAAAGAUGGGUUAAAUUUUAAAAUGACUUAUUUACCCUCAAGUUUUUCUUAAGUUAAAAUGUAUGGAGACCCCCUCAACUAUAUGCCAUUUUGAAACAGCUCUCUCAACUUUCAUUUUUUUAGUUGAUAUCCCAUUAGCUUUUAAUUUUAAAAAAAAUUAACUAAUUUCAGUGUAUGAAAAAAAGAGAAGUUUUUAGUUUUUUUUGAUAAUUUUACCAAAUCUAGUGGCUCUAUUUAUAUUUUAUCGAAUAAAUAAUUAUACAUAAAAAUUUAAAUGAAAAUAAUGUUAAGGAAUUAUCCGAUCUUUCUUUAAUCUUGAAAGCUUAAAAUUUUUUUUUAAUCAAAAUAUUCUUGAUAAUUUUAUCUGCAUUAAACGCAUUAAAAAACUGAAAUAUAAUAUAUUUUAGCUUUUGAACAAAACUCUCUUUUUGUUUCAAUCGACAGAACAAUGCUUGCAUAUAGUUAUGUGAUUUACUUUUGCUUAAAUAGGAAAAAAAUAAAAUCUAUAAUUUAUUUCAAAAUUACUAUUACUACUGAACCUGAACCGAAAUCCGAAACUAAAAACAAAAACAAAAUCAGAUAAAAACAUACUAUAUAUAAAAUAUAAUUUUUAUAUAUUUUUUAAUAAUUAAUAUAUAUUAAUAAUUUAAUUUAAUAUGUAUAUAUUAAAUACUCAAAUUUAGAUUUACAAAAAAUAUCUUGAAAUACCUAUUAGUAUUUCUACUAUUAAUAAGAAAUAAAGGGUAAAAAUGGUAUUUUGAAAAUUUAACUCCUUUUCAGAUGGGAUUUAACGGAUUUUAACUAAUGAGGGGUAUUUAUGAUAAUUUUAAACAUAUUGGAGGGUAUUUGUGAUAUUAUCAAUUUUAGAAGGAUAUUGAUGAAAUUAAUAAUUUCUAGAAGGAUAUUUAUGAAAUUAUUUCUUUAAAAAAUUUCUUAAUUAUAACCGAUAGAAUAUAUUUGAAAACUAAUAAGUGUGUUGAGCCAAAUGAAAUAGUAAUAUAGUAAUUAUAUAUUAAAAUAAUGCUUUAAAAAUAUUUUUCUUUCUAUACUUUUAUUCAUCAUAGAUUAGAUGUUUCAAAUCCAAUCGUAGAAUAACAGAAAAAAAAAAUUCCCUCCUCAAUUAUGAAUCAUUCAAAAAUAAGAAGAAAAUUUAUUGCGACAAUAAUAUAUAUAGAUAUUCUCAAAAUUAAUUUUAGUGUGUCAUGUGAGAUAAUAAAAAGUCUGAUCAUAAAUAAUAUAUAUAUAUNAUAUAUAUAUAUAUAUAUAUAUAUAUAUAUAUAUAUAUAUAUAUAUAUAUAUAUAUAUUACAAUAAUAAACUAUGAAUAUUAUUAUUAUUAUUAUAUAAAAUAAAUAUAACAGAGAAGGCUAUAUGAAGUUUUAAAUAUAACGAUUUGAAAGUUGAAGGACCAAAAUGAAACUCGACUCACUCUAUAAAGAAAAAUGCAUUUUGUACAUACCAAAAAGGAGUGUAGAUCUUACCCCUAUAAUUUUCUGGUUGAUAAAAAUCAACUUAAUUUUCAGUAAAAUUUUAAAAAAUUAAUGUGAUAAGAAUAAUCUUAAAAUAAAGUGUGUAAAAUGUACACUCUAUUUUAGAUUGUAUCUAUAGAAUUGCUCAUCUAUAAAUUCCCCAACCCACAAGCUCAUCUCCACACCACCCAUGGCUCCCUCUACCUUUCUCCUCCUCCUCCUCCUCCUUACCUCCACCAUUAACACCCUCUCCAGAGCUUCACCAAGAAGCGUUUACAUCAUCCAAGUAAACAACGAGCUCAAACCCUCCGCGUUCCCAAACGUCGAUUCCUGGUACUCUUCCACCCUCUCCUCUCUCCUCCUCACCACUAAACAAGAUGAAGAAGAAGCAGAAGAAGAAGAAGACAAUUAUGGUGUGGGCAUGGGCAUUCUCCACACUUACCAUACAGUCUUCCAUGUCUCGCCGUCUUCCCCGACCGCCUCCGCCGCCCCCACACCACCCGCUCCCCGCAAUUCCUCGGCCUCGUCUCCUCGAAUCCUCGCCGUCCCCACGCUCUCCUCUCCGCAGCUGACGCCGGCGCCGGAACCGUCAUCGCCGUGCUCGACACCGGCAUUCGCCCCGACCACCGCAGCUUCUCCGCCGAGGGGCUCCCCCCGCCGCCCAGCCGGUGGCGCGGCGCCUGCGAGCCCGGGCCUAAAUUUCCCGCCAAUUCCUGCAACCGCAAGCUGCUCGGCGCCCGCUUCUUUCCCGCCGGAUUUCUGGCGGCGAGUAAGAGGAGGUCCGCUAAUGCCACCAAUUCGGACGUUCUGUCGCCGUGGGACUCCGACGGCCACGGGACCCACACCGCCUCCACCGCCGCCGGCGCCGUCGUAUCCGGCGCGUCGCUCUUCGGCUUCGCCGCCGGCGAGGCUUCCGGCGUCGCCCCCCGCGCCCGCGUCGCCGCCUACAAGGUCUGCUGGUCGCCCGGCUGCUUCGACUCCGACAUCCUCGCCGCCAUCGACCGCGCCGUCGACGACGGCGCCGACGUCGUCUCCCUCUCCGUCGGUGCGUCGCCGGCGCCUUACCACCUCGACCCUAUCGCCGUCGGCGCCUUCGCCGCCGCCGCCCGGCACGGCGUCUUCGUCGCCGCCUCCGCCGGCAACGACGGCCCCGGCGAGAUGACCGCCACGAACGUCGCCCCCUGGAUCGCCACCGUCGGCGCCGGCACCAUCGACCGCCGGUUCCCCGCCGACGUCGUCCUCGGCGACGGCGCCCGUUUCCCCGGCGCUUCCCUGUACGCGGGGGAACGCGUCCCGCGCGACCGUUGGUUUCAACUGGUUUACGCGGGAAACGUCUCAACCGCCGUUUCCCGCUCCACUGCGCCGUUCUGCGCGUGGGGGUCGCUGGACCCGGCGCUGACGCGCGGCAGGGUGGUGCUGUGCGAGCGCGGCGGCGUCCGUCGUGUUGAGAAGGGAUUGGCCGUCAAGGCGGCCGGCGGCGCCGGUGCGAUCAUCGCGAACCAAUUCUUCGACGGCGAGGGCGUCGUCCCCGACGCGCACCUCAUCCCCGCGGUGGCGGUCGGGUAUUCCGCGGGCAACGCCGUCCAUGCAUACGUCCGCUCCGCGACGGGGCCGCGGGCCGAGCGCGCAGUCGCCGUACCUGAUCAAGCCGGACCUGAUCGCCCCCGGCGUCGGCAUCCUCGCCGGGUGGGCCGCCGACGUGGGCCCCACCAACCUUCCGGCCGACGCGCGCCGGACGGAAUUCAACAUCAUGUCCGGAACAUCGAUGGCGUGCCCGCACGCGUCCGGAGUGGCGGCGCUGCUCAAGGCCGCGCACCCCGACUGGUCUCCCGCAGCCGUCCGUUCGGCGAUGAUGACCACGGCGUACGUCACCGACAACCUUGGCCACGACCUCGUCGACGAGAGCUCCGGGAACCGGUCCACCGAGUGGGCCCACGGGGCGGGGCAUAUGGACCCCGAAAAAGCAGUUGAACCUAGUCUAGUCUACAACACGACGGCCGACGAUUUCUUGAACUUCCUAUGCGCCUCGAAUUACACAGAAAUCGAUAUCCGUGCAAUCACACGUACUUUCGUAAAAUGUUCAAACAAUACAAGCAUGCCUUGGGAUUUAAACUAUCCCUCGAUUUUAGUGAUGAUCGAGCAGUCGGCGGCGGCGGCAGCAGGUGGCAGACUCGAGGCGGUCGUCCGCCGGAGGCUAACGAGCGUCGUGAAAGGGAGGGGAGAGUACCGAGUGAGCAUCAGAGAGCCCGCGGGCGUUGCGGUGGCGGUCGAGCCGGCGAAGCUCGUGUUCGACGGAGAGGGCCGGGAACUGGAGUUCCGGAUUAGGGUUUCGGCCGACGCCGUGAAGCUGUCGCCAGGGAGCGCCCGGACGGAGUUCGGGUCGAUAACGUGGUCCGACGGGAAGCGCCGAGUUAGGAGUCCGAUUGGGUUCACAUGGCAGCAACCUUACUAGCCAUAUACCUCAAAGAAGUAGGGUUUAAGGGUUUUAUGUAGAGCAAAAAUGGAAAGCGCGCCUUGUUUUACAUGUUGCUCACUUUGAAAGGAACGAAACUAAAAAUGGUUAGAAAAGAGAGUUUCUCAUUAAAGAUCAAGUGAAUGAAAAUGGUGUUUACUUUGAAGCUUACAUACAAUCCAAAAUGGAGUUUUCCUGUAUUUCUCAUAUAAUAUACAAGGCCAUUUUAACAUAAAAGGAAAAUUUUAGAGAGUUUAGAGUGUGUUUUGGUUACCUCAAACUCAAGAAUGGAACCCACGACCUCGAGUGAAGUUGUCGUUGUGUAUAGAUUUUGCACGUGGACUGUAAUUCUGAGAUCCACUAAAAUAUUAAAGACUAUAUUUGGAUAAUAUCUUCCUAGUAUGUUAAAAAAAUAUUAGUAAAUAAAGAGAGUGAUCAAAUAAUUAGUAUAAAAUAUCACAUUCAGCGUUCAAAUCAAUUUUUAGAAUAGGAUAAAUUAUUGUGUAGGUAUAUAAUUAUUCAUCGUUGGUUUAGGAAUAAGCAAUUCUAUGAUAGAUACAAUGUGAAUCAACUAGGAUUCGAACAUGAGACUUUUGUUGGUUUAAAUGGGCCAGCAUCCUGCCUUGUGGCGGGAGGCCAUGUGGGCCGAGUCAUGUUCGAAAUGGCGUGAGGCUAGGUUGGGCCGAGUCAUGUUCGAAGUAGCGUGAGGCUAGGUGGGUCGAGUCACAAUCGAGACCCGUGGGUGCUGUUUCUGUACGCUUUAAAUGAAUUGGUUGCGUAUUUCUAACAGCUCGAGCUUUUGGGAUUAAUGGUUAGCGCCAACGAUCCGACAAGUGGUAUCAGAGCUAGAGGUUACGGGUUCGAUUUCUGCAUGCUGCAAAUGUGUGCAGGUGCUGGAGGGGGGAUUGUUGGCUUAAAUUGGCCAGCAUCCUGCCCUGUGGCGAGAGGCCAUGUGGGCCGAGUCAUGUUCGAAAUGGCGUGAGGCUGGAUAGGGCCGAGUCAUGUUCGAAGUGGCGUGAGGUCAGGUUGGCCGAGUCACAAUCGAGACCCGUGGGCGUUGUUUUUGUACGCUUUAAGUGAAUUGAUUGCGUAUUUCUAACAGCUCGAGCUUUUGGGAUUAAUGGUUAGCACCAACGAUCCAACAAGUGGUAUCAGAGCCAGAGGUCACGGGUUCGAUUCCUGCAUGCUGCAAAUGUGUCCAGAUGCUGGAGGGGGGAUUGUUGGCUUAAAUGGGCCAGCAUCCUUCCCUGUGGUGGGAGGCCAUGUGGGCCGAGUCAUGUUCGAAAUGGCGUAAGGCUGGGUUGGGCCGAGUCAUGUUCGAAGUGGCGUGAGGCCAGGUGGGCCGAGUCACAAUCGAGACCCGUGGGCGCUGUUUCUGUACGCUUUAAGUGAAUUGGUUGCGUAUUUCUAACAGCUCGAGCUUUUGGGAUUAAUAGUUAGCGCCAACGAUCCGACAACUUUAAGAAUCAACUACGCCAACGAUCCGACAACUUUAAGAAUCAACUACCAAAUCCUUUGCCACUUACGCUAAGGACGAUCUGUAAUACUAAUUUUUUGGAUGGUUAUAUUAGAAUAGAGGAAAAAAGAGUAAUUAUAAUUAUAAAGUAAAAAUAUUUAUCUAAUUAUUUAACAUCAAAAUAUUAAUUAAAAGUAAUUUAAUAAUUAAUAAAUUUAUUAGCUAUGAAUAUUGUAUAAAAUAAUAAAAAAUAUAUUAAUUAAUUGAUUAUAAAAUAUAACUUAGGGUUUAGGGUACCAACCACACAGCUCUUUGCCACUUGCACUAGAGACUAUUAAUUUUUUUUGAUAAUUAUAUGAUACUACCAAUUUAAUGUUAGAGUUUAUAAAAAAACCUGAGUCAACAAAGCUUGGUCAAAAUUAUGUUGAGUUCGGCAAUAUUUACAAUCGGCACAAAAAAUCUUUAAACAGUGAUAACUUUUUGCUCGGGCGUUAAUUUUCAACAUGCAAUUCUAAUUAGAAAAAUACUUUUCGAGAUCUACACGUCAAAAGACAAAAUCGUUGAUCCGUCGGAGGAGGAAGUAAUGAUAGAUAUUUGAAACCAGAUUAAAAAGAAAAAAAAAACACACACAAUAUUUUUAUAUAGAAAAGUCUGUAUAUUAAUUUUCUCUAAGCCGGAGUGGCUUUAUAAGAGCCAGUAGGGCCCUAUUUAUAGCCUUCAGGCUUUCAAGAAGAUAAAAACAAAAUAUUUUGAAAAUAACAACUUUAUCCUUAUCCUAUCCAAAGUAGUUGGAAUCACCUCGAUCUUAUCCUAACCGAAAUAGUUUGGAACCAUCUCGAUUCCUAUCCUAACUGAAUUAGUUGGAACCAUCUCGAUCCUUAUCCUAACCGAAUUAGUUAGAAUCAACUCUGCUUUAUCUGCUACGAUUGAAACUUAUCUGAAAUAUUUGAUCGUCCCGGAUCAUGGCUUCCCAAUUUUGAGAGGAACCAGCACUUGUUGGAUCUAGAACUGCAAGUGAGAAAAUUGAGUUUUUCCGGUUUUCUUUAAAAAUCGAGUAUUCUGCAUAUAAACUCGCAUAUUUAUAAAAGUCUAGCUGAACUUGCAUGAAUAUUGACAAAUAAAGUGCUGCUACUGGUGGUCGUGAUAGCAUAUCAACCAGUUUGUUGUGAGCGUCUUUCUUAUACUUGACCACCAAAUUGAAUUACUGCAACUACGUCAUCCAUUUCAUGUGACGCGCCUGCUGCAAUUUUGAUUGCAUUUGGAGGUACUGAAGCGGGUGGUGAUCUGUAUGCACCACUAUCUCCUUUCCUACGAGGUAGACCCGCCAAUGCUUCACCGCCUGGUGCAGUGCCAAAAGUUCCUUAUCUUAGGUUGAGUAGUUCUUUUGAGCUCCUUAGAAUAUUUCUUGAGUAAUACGCGAUAGACCACUACAGGACAUUAGUUAAAAUGUGACACUUAUUUAGCGGCUUUUUGAAUUGGGCCCGCUCAAAAUAGUAGCCCAAACUAUAUAUUUCUCUUCUCUUUAGAUGGGUCUAUCCCAUAAGUCCUAGCCCAUAAGUAAUUAACCAUCUCCUUCUCUUUCUCUCUCUCUAGGCCCAAAUUACCUAUCUCUCUCUUUCUCUCUCUCCCUCUCUCCCUCUCCUACAUAGACCCAAAACCCGACACCUCUCGCCCUUUCUCCCUCGCGGAUCCACAUUGUCUCCUCCAACGUCUUCUUCUCUAGGGUUUUCUCCUCAACCACUUUCUAGGGUUUUCGACUCGUCCGCUCCUCUCAACCUCACGCAUGAUGGCCGGAUUGCGAAGGAUCGUUCGCUGAGGCGAUCCCCCUUGAGCUCGCACGUGAUCGUCGCUUGGGAGGACCUUCGCCGAGGUGAUUCCUCUUGAGCUCGCACGUGAUCGUCGCUUGGGAGGACCUUCGUCGAGUCACACACGAUCGCCGCUUGGGAGGACCUUCGCCGAGUCGCACGCAAUCGCCGCUUCGGAGGAAUCGUUCGUCCACCUUCAUCAAUAUCCUUCUUUCUCACUACUUUUUUUUGGUAAGUUUUGAUCAUUUUUUGAUUUUUUUUUCAUUUUUAAUUAGCUUCGGGUAUUCAUGUAAAUAUCAUUUGUGCAUAUACUUUGUUUGUUUAUAUUAAUCUUUAUCUAGUUUUUUAUUUUUAAUUAGUUUUUUUUUUUUUUUAAUUAACUUCUGGUUCAACUAAUCAAAUCCACCAACAUUUGGAGAAUUGUGACUAUGACCGAUUAGUAUUUAGCUAGCUUGCAAAUCCACAUUUUUAAUCUAUAUUCUUCACCAUUAUUGGCUUGAUUAUUGCAGAUUAACAGCUAACUAGCAUUCCCAUCCCUGUCUUAGCCGAAAUAAACAUCUUGUCCAGCUUGAUUAUUGCGCUCCUCUAGAAGUUCCAUUUCAAUUUCAUUGAACAAAGAGAGGGCUCACAAGAUUUAAUAUAUCUAUGCAUAUAUAUAAANACAUUUCAUACUAACUGUCUAUUACUUUCUAUUAAUCCCGAAUAACAAAAGCUGAGGUGGCAUGACCUCCUUUUUUUGAAAUUUUUUUUAAUUUUUUUAUUUUUUAAAUUCCACAUAAUUCUCUACAUUCUAUAUUUCAUACUAACUAUUUUUUUAGCAAUUAAUUUUCUAAAUUUGGAAACUUUUCUGAUUUUUUUAUUUUUUAAAUUCCAUAUAACCCUCUACAUUCUACAUUUCAUACUAACUGUUAUUUUAGCAAUUAAUUUUCUAAAUUUGGAAACGGUUUUUCAUAAUUGCAAUUGAUAAAUUAUUAUAAACUAUAAUAAUUAAUUGUCAAAUUUAUUACUUUUUAUUAAUUCCACAUAACCCUCUAUAUUCUACAUUUUAUCUAUUACUUUCCAUUAAUCCCCAAUAACAAUAGCUGAGGUGGCAUGACCUCCUUUUUUUUGAAAUUUUUUCUGAUUUUUUUAUUUUUUAAAUUCCACAUAACCUUCUACAUUCUACAUUUCAUACUAACUGUCUAUUACUUUCUAUUAAUCCCCAAUAACAACAGCUGAGGUGGCAUGAUUUCCUUUUAUUGGAAUUUUUUUUAAUUUUUUUAUUUUUUAAAUUCCACAUAAUCCUCUGCAUUCUAUAUUUCAUACUAACUAUUUUUUUAGCAAUUAAUUUUCUAAAGUUGGAAACUUUUCUGAUUUUUUUAUUUUUUAAAUUCCAUAUAACCAUCUACAUUCUACAUUUCAUACUAACUGUUAUUUUAGCAAUUAAUUUUCUAAAUUUGGAAACGGUUCUUCAUAAUUGCAAUUGAUAAAUUAUUAUAAACUAUAAUAAUUAAUUGUCAAAUUUAUUACUUUUUAUUAAUUCCACAUAACCCUCUACAUUCUACAUUUCAUCUAUCUAUUACUUUCCAUUAAUCCCCAAUAACAAUAGCUGAGGUGGCAUGACCUCCUUUUUUUGAAAUUUUUUCUGAUUUUUUUAUUUUUUAAAUUCCACAUAACCCUCUACAUUCUACAUUUCAUACUAACUGUCUAUUACUUUCUAUUAAUCCCCAAUAACAAAAAGCUGAGGUGGCAUGACCUCCUUUUCUUGGAAUUUUUUUUUAAUUUUUUUAUUUUUUAAAUUCCACAUAAUCCUCUACAUUCUAUAUUUCAUACUAACUAUUUUUUUAGCAAUUAAUUUUCUAAAUUUGGAAACUUUUCUGAUUUUUUUAUUUUUUAAAUUCCAUAUAACCCUCUACAUUCUACAUUUCAUACUAACUGUUAUUUUAGCAAUUAAUUUUCUAAAUUUGGAAACGGUUUUUCAUAAUUGCAAUUGAUAAAUUAUUAUAAACUAUAAUAAUUAAUUGUCAAAUUUAUUACUUUUUAUUAAUUCCACAUAACCCUUUACAUUCUACAUUUCAUACUAACCUUUUUUUAGCAAUUAAUUUUCUAAAUUAGGAAACGGUUCUUCAUAAUUGUAAUUGAUAAAUUAUUAUAAACUAUAAUAAUUAAUUGUCUAAUAAACUAUAAUAAUUUCUAUUAAUUUUUAAAUUUUUUCAUUAAUAAAAUUCAAAAAUUAAAAAAAUGCCUCCAAAAGCUUAUGUUCUUAUCUUCUUCUUUUGGGCUUUGCUCACUAUUAUCAUCCCAACUCUCAUUUAUUGGUUAUCACCCACAAAAUGAUAUUUAGAUUUUCAAGGUAAUAUUAUUUUAAAAUGAAAAUUAUUGAGCUUUCUUUUUUUUAUUUUUUUUGAAUUGGCUAAAGUGUUAUUUUUUCUCUAUUUUAUUUCAUUUUGUGAUAUGAUAGGAAGGAAAAAUGUAUAUACAAGAUUUAGGAGAAUGAUGAGCUCAAUGAAGAUUGUAACAACUUUAAAUUAACAUCAUCAACCCCGUCGUCGUUGCCAGCACCAUCAACAUCGCCCAUUAGAUGAAAUGAUAUAACGAGGUAAUAGAAAACUUACAGAGUUUUUUUUUGUCCCUUUUUAUCCUUUUUGGUUAUCAUCCACAAAAUAAUAUUUAGAUUUUCAAGGUAAUAUUAUUUUAAAAUAAAAAUUAUUGAGCUUUCUUUUUUUUUUAUUUUUUUUUUAAUUGGCUAAAGCGUUGUUUUUUCUUUAUUUUAUUUCAUUUUUGUGAUAUGAUAGGAAGGAAAAAUAUAGAUACACGAUUUAGGAGAAUGAUGAGCUCAAUGAAGAUUGUAACAACUUUAAAUUAAUAUCAUCAACCCCAUCGUCGUUGCCGGUACCAUCAACAUCGCCCAUUAGAUGAAAUGAUAUAACGAGGUAAUAGAAAACUUACAGAGUUUUUUUCUCCCUUUUUUUUUCCCUUUUUUUUUAAGGAAAAAUAGAGAAAUAAGUUUGCAAAAGAGGGGAGUUGUAUGAUUUUAUUCAAACUAGGUUUUAUAGAAAAGGUUGAUGCUUCUAUGUAUAUUUGUGAGGUGUGUGCAUUUUUAGUUUUUUUUCCCUGCUACCUUUUGCUUUUUUCUUUUUUUUUUUUUAUUUUUGCUUCACUUCUCGCUAAAUUCUUAUAAGUUUAUGAGUUAUUUUUUUUAUUUGCUUCAUUGUUGGUUAAAAGUUUAUGAGUUUCAUNUGGCACUUUUGAGAGAAUGUUGGUAGUGAAUUUGAAAACCUUUAAAUUAUCUCAAUGCAAACUAUUACUUUAUUUGUAAAUUUUGGUGCUUGCUUAGGUGAGUGCAUUUUUAGUUUUUUUUCCCUGCUUCCCUUUGCUUUUUUUCUUUUUUUAUUUAUUUUUGCUUCACUUCUCGCUAAAUUCUUAUAAGUUUAUGAGUUAUUUUUUUUAUUUGCUUCAUUGUUGGUUAAAAGUUUAUGAGUUUCAUUAAAAGAUAGGUUAAAAAAAACUUAAACUAUCCACUUUAUUUUUUUUUCGAAAAAAGAAACUCCUUAUAAUAGUUUUGAUGUUAUUUAUUUUCUCUCCCUCUCAAGGUUUGUAAUGAAAAGGCAACGAGAAAAAAAAAGGAGGGUGACACUUUUGAGUGUUUUUUUUCCUUGUUGAAUUGAAUAAUAUAGCAAUCCCAUUUAUGAAGGAAUAGGCAAUAUUUUUUUGUUAUCUUUCUAAAUGUUGGCUUUUAGUACAAUUAUGAGAGAGAUGUUGCAAUCAUAAAAAUACAGUGUCAUCUUCAAUUCAAAAAGAUAACAAUCAAUCUUUGUUCUACGGUAAAAUAUACUUACUUGCUAUUUUAUGUUAUUACGUUACCAUAUACAUUUUAAAAUUUUAAUUAUUAUUAUUACUUUUUAACUAAAAAAGUUUAAAGUUUUAUUUUUAUUAUCUACCCGCAACAUCGCGCGGGUUUCUGCACUAGUAAUUAUUAAGGUGAAAGAUUUUGUGUGAAAUUAAUUAAGAUACUCUAAAAGCCGACGUGAAUUAUUUGAUCAGAACGGAAGAUUACAUAGAUUGUAUAUAUACAAGCUAAAACAACAUCGAUCCAGCUCCCUGCAAAUUUCUGUACCAAUUGAACAGCUGAAAUAUGAUCAUAGAAUCCAGAAAAAAAAAAGAGCAUUAAAAAGGAAAUAUAAUAAACUUACCGGCCGAGUAAUGCUCGCUAGCUGGACGCCACAGUACAUAUACAACAGUUAGCACACCAAGAUCAAGAAACCAUAGAAAGGGAGGACUUAUAAUUUG
rnacentral:lncRNA from 1 species